rnacentral:lncRNA from 1 species
UGUAAAAAAAGUUUUUUAGAAGGGUGCAGGCCUGUAAUUGGGGUUGAUGCUUGCCAUUUGAAAGGUCCUUAUCCUGGAAAAAUAUUGACUGCUGUAGGAGUUGAAGGUAAUAAUGGUCUUUUUCAAAUUGCAUAUGCUGUGGCUGAGAUUAAAAACAAGGACUCAUGGAUUUGGUUUCUGUCUUUGUUGAUUGAAGAUUUAUGUAUUACAAAUGGUUUAUCCUGGGCUUUCAUAAGUGAUAAGCAAAAGGGGCUCAUACCUGCCAUUGCACAUGUAUUACCAACUGCAGAGCAUAGGAUGUGCGUCCGGCACUUAUAUAAUAAUUUCAGAAUAACACAUCUUAGUCUCACUCUUAAACACAUGUUGUGGGCAGCUGCCAGAGCCACUACUAUUCCUUGGUGGAAAGUAGAAAUGGAGAAGAUGAAGAAAGAGGACUUGGAAGCUUGAAAAUGGUUGGUGCAGAGACCACCCAAUAAUUAGACUAGAUCUCAUUUUCAUCCAAGGUAUAAGUGUGAUCUUUUGCUGAACAACCUUUGUGAGAGCUUUAAUGCAGCUAUAAUUGAUGUCAGAGAUAAUUCUAUUUUGACAUGUUUGGAAAGUAUUCGAAUAUAUGUGAUGCUUAGGAUGGCUAAUCGAGGGCUGCUUGUGGUAAAUGGAAACACCUUAUUGGCCCAUGGAUAUUCAAAAUAAUUGAGAAGAACAAGAUGGGAGCUUCUCAAUGCAUUCCUAGAUUGGCUGGGGAAAAAAUGUAUCAAGUCAGUCACAUGUAUGGUGGGGAGUUUGUUAUAGAUCUUGCAGUAAUGUCUUGUAGUAGUAGGAGAUGGGAUUUAUGUGGCAUACCCUGUGCAGGUGCUAUUUCAGCUAUAUUCUACAGAGAUGAAAACCCUGUUAAAUAUGUACAUGAGUGUUAUAAGCCAGAGACAUACAUGAGGUCAUAUGAACCAAUAAUUCACCCAAUCCUUUCUAUGGAUCAGUGGGUUAAUGGUGGCUUGCCUCCAAUUAGAUCUCCAUUUCAUAAGCGUCAACCAGGAAGACCCAAGAGAGUGAGGACAAAGGAGGCUGCUGUGGUUCAAGUACCAGCCCCAAACCCACCAAACCCUUUGCCUCCAGGUUACACUGCUCCAGCAACAAAACUUAGAAAACUCUUUAUUAAAAUUAGAUGUGGAGCCUGUGGAAAAGAAGGCCACAAUCGAAGAGGAUGUGGAAGUCAGGUUGUUUAAUUAUUUGGGUUUUGUUAUGCAUUUUAAUUAUUUGGGUUGUGGUCAUCUGUGGUUGUGAUUUUUUAUAGCUGUGCUUGUAUGUUGUGCAGGCUGAGGCAGCCCAAAAUGGGAAUGUUGGCCAAAAUGAAGUUCAAGCAGCUAACAAUGGAAAUGCAGGCCAAAAUCAUAUUGCCCCAGCCUAAACUAAUGCUGGUCCAGCCCAAACUAACACUGCCCCAGUCCAAAACAAAGCUGCCCCAACUCAAACUUACAUUGCCCCAACCCAAAUUCAAGUUAAUAGGGGCAGAGGAAGAGGUAGAGGAAGAGGAAGAGGCUUAUGGAAUCUAGCUGCAAGGAUGUCAUCUUCACAACCAGUUAGUUGCCUAUUAUUCUUGCCCAGCUUUAAGGACCCGCCCCGAAUUUUCUCAAAACCCGAGACGAACCCUUUGGAAUUCCUGACAUCACCCCGAUGCCAGCCCACUUACUAAAAACCGAGACUUCCUGCCGAAAUUUCGGCAGAGUCUCCCCUAUAAAUUGGACAUUUCCCAAAAUUUCAACCUGCAUAAAACGCAUUUAAUAUCCACAACUGGCAGCAUGCACAAUAUAAUUUCAUGCAAUUCACACAAAUGGCCUUCGGCCUUUCAAUAAUUCCUAUCCAAUUACCACACCAUUCAAAUACAUAUUAUGACUAAUAUUUAGUCUGCGGCUGCACCUAAUAACCUUAGGCUGCCUACGUACCCCCCUUGAGGGAUCAAGCCACACAUAGUUCUUCCCUAAAACUCAGUUCCACACUUGGGCGAUGUCUUAUUUCAUUUCUCGGUAUUUCAUGGAAUCUCCCCAUACGCCGGUACAACCAACGCCACGUAUGGGGCCUGUCAACACGCCGGAUAACCUACGCCACGUGCGACCAUGCCAUACUAUCAUAAUAUCUCCCCAUACGCCGGUACAACCAACGCCACGUAUGGGGUCUGUCUCAACGCCGGAUAACCUACGCCACGCGAGACCUGCACAUCAUAUCACAUAACUCCCCAUACGCCGGUACAACCAACGCCACGUUUGGGGCCUGUCCCAACACCGGAUAACCUACGCCACGUGGGACCUCAAUAUUAUAUCACAAAGUUCCCCAUACGCCGGUACAACCAACGCCACGUAUGGGGUCUGUCGACACGCCGAAUAACCUACGCCACGUGCGACCUCAACAUAAUAUUACAUAGCUCCCCAUACGCCGGUACAACCAACGCCACGUGGGGCCUGUCCCAACGCCGGAUAACCUACGCCACGCGGGACCUAACUUUCACUUGGUGGUACUUGUAGUGGAUCCAACAUCCGAGGAGGUACCUAAAGUAGUGCGUAUAGCACUCCAAACUGACACUUUAGACUCUGUUGUACCCUUGUACAACCAUAUAUAAUUAUAGUUAUAUAAAUUAAUUCUAAUAUUGUGUAACCCUCCACAAUCAUCUAGCACCCGAUAAUCCCCCCUAGAAAGGUGAGAUUACUCCGGGAGACUCACGGUCAACCAAGGGUCAAACUACUCUAACCCUGGUCAACCGGACCUGCAAAACCCACGACCUCCAAUUUCCAAUCCGGAAGUCCCUAUGGGUUCUACCAGGUAUAGGACACUUGUCCUGCAAGUUUGGUUCAGAUCGGACGGUCGGAUUGCUCACGAUCGCACGAUCUGACGGUUAAUAUAAAAUAUAAAUUUAAAAUUAUUAUUCCGAACAUCCGGGGCUCCGAUUCACGAUCCGUGAAUUCCUACACGAUCCUAGAAAUACCUAGAUUAACAUAUAUUAAAUUUGGGACCAUCCGACGGUCCCAACCUAUCAAACCCGGAUAACGCAUAAUAUGCGAUUAUCUGUUCGAUAGUCAAACGACGUCCGAAUUGAGAUCCGCGAAAUCCUACGCACUCGUGACAACCUAAGGAUCUCAUUGGGACACAUUGCUACUUUUUCUACAGUGCCCACGCGCCGCCGCACGCGCCGGCAGCGCGUGGGUGCCCAAAGCGAUAACGCUUCGCCGGAAAAUCUCAACAUCUCGGCUCCAAACUCCUACCCUAGGUAUAACACCCUAUUUGGAGCCACUUUUGUUCUUGGACCUACCCCAAAAAGUGGCCGGAAAUGGCCGAUCACGGCGGCCGAAGUUUCGGCCGAUUUUCAAUUCGAAAAUCGAGUGAUCUAGAGAUCGAAUCGAUCAAAACCCAACCAACAGGCAGCUAGAACAGCUCGAGAGGUUCAAAAUCCAUACCUGGGUCGACAGAAUUGGUGGUCGGAGGAGGGAGAUCGACGGCGUUGAAGUUUCGACGACUUCCCGGCGGUUUUCUGCAUUUUCCGGCCAGCACCGGCCGCGUCGCCGGCGGGGAACGGUCGGGGAAGGAAGGGGACGUCGUCCCGGUCAUUUUGGUACCGGCCCCGCCCACAGCCGUGGCCGGUGGCCGGAGAUACGAGGAGAGAAAGAGAGAGAGCCGACGGGAGAGAGAGAGAAGUCGCGGGAGAGAGAGAGAGGAGAGAGAGAGAAACCAGAUUUUUAUAAAAAAAUCCCAUUUCGAAAUAUUUACGAUUAUACCACUGGACUUCUUUUGACCAUAUCUCUCUCGUUACAACUCCGAUUCGAGCCCACUACGUGUCUGUGAACUCGUCUCAGUACGACCUAUCCAAAAAUAUAAGUCACGGUCCCAAAAUCUCUCUGGUUAAAAAUAUGACUAAAAUACCCUUAAAUAAUUAAAUAAUUAAAUGAGGGUAAAAUUUGGGGAAAUUUGGGGUCGGGGUGUUACACCAGCUCAGAUUUUUUAUGUUUGCCUAUAUAGUAAUAUAUAUUGUUUGUGGUUUUUAUCUUAGGUGGUAAGUGAUAUCAGUCAAGGAAAGGCCAAUUUGCCAAUGACAUACUCACAACAAGUGCCCUUGCAACCAUCAUCCUCUUCACUUACUCAACAAACCACACCCCAUAGAGGAAGAUUCAAACACAGUGUCAAAAGAGGAGGACAAGUAUAGACUGUGAAGACAUAUUUUAUGGACUUUUAAGACCUAUUUUUGGACUCUUAAGUACUUACUAUAUGGAUGUGUAUUUUGGGUGAACAAUUAUAGACUCAAGUACGCUAUUUGGUAAUGUUAUUUUGAAGGCUCUUUUGCCUAUUCUAUGUAAUGUUCAGGUGUAUUUUGGAUUGUAUGUAAUGUGCAAUUGGUGAAUGUUAAUUGGUAAUUGAAGCCUUAUUGUAUGUAAUGUGCCCCUGUUCAUUUGGUAUACACUGCCAAUUCAACACAAAAUUAGCUUAUAUAGCAAAACAUCUGAUACACAGCCAAAGAGGCACAAAAUAACCUUAUGCCUAGGUUUCUGCCCAUUUCUAUACUACCAAUUCCUGCUCAUUUCUACACUAUGCCCAUGCCAUCAAAAGCUGUUUAAGAGUAUAUACAACAUUAUGCCCAUUUCCUGCCAUUUUCUACACUGCCAAAUCAUCCAUAUUGAUGAACAAUAUCACAAUCAUAAAACACAACAGAACAACAACCCAUAACCACCUUUUUCUUUGUUGAUAACUCAAAAUUUCCCCUUCUAGUAUAACAACUUGUUGACCCAUUCCCAAAUUAUGUUUUUCAAAAUCUUGAUUUCUUCUUCCUCUUCUUUCAGUUUUUGCUCUAAUUUAUUCUUCUCUUCUUUCAUCAAUAUGAAAUUCUCCGCCAGUUCUCUCAAUUCGUCCUCCAUUCCUCUUAGUCUUCUAAAUAACCUAGGCAAGAUUUCCUUUCCUUAUGGGCAUGUUUCAUUCUCCACCCAUGCAAAAAAUGCAACCCACUCUUACUGUUCUGCAAUUCAAACAAAACGAAGAACCAAUUUAAGACCCAACAAAACACCAAUUUCAUUCUCCAACCAUGUGAAAAAACAAAACACCAAUUACUGUUAUGAAAUUCAAACAAAAACUUACCCGAUUAUUGCAACAUGCCUCAAAUCUUCUUCCAGGAUUCAGAUCUAUCUAUGAAGUCCGACAUUUGAUUUCCGACCCAUACUUGCAGUAAUGCCGGCUGCAAUUUGAAUAUGUCGAACUCUUUGAUAUUUUUCCUUCCCUCGCAACCCCUUCUUAGUUCUUCAGUUCUUCAUUUGGGGGUCGAAGAGAAGGGUUUAAGGCAAGUGUUCAGAUUCGAAGGAGAGUCUUCAGACUCAAAACAACUCUUUUAUCCCUCAUUUUGACGAAUAAUUUGACAGAGUUGGACGACAGGACCUAAUUGCAACUGAUUGUCUAAUUAAAGGAUUUCAUUGCCUCAAAAAUUAGUUCACGGACCCAAUUGCAACUGGGGCCAUAGUUCAAGGAUGUCUACAGUAAUUAACCCUUAUUUCUAAUCCUAAAUGGACACGCUCACAAAACCUUUAGACAAUCUUCGAUUUGACACUCUUAGAAAGUCUUUAGGUAUUUAAUCCACUAAAUAAUUGUUCUUGUUCUACUACAUUCCAAAAGGUCCUUAUUAUGUUUGAUUUGUUUGGGUUUUGGAUAUUUUUAUGAGUAUUUUGUCCUGCACGUGCGUGGACAGUUAAGGAAUAUCAAUCUUAUUGAUGUCUGGGAGUUUUUGUUGAUCUUAGAUUGGAUUUCAGGAGUUCGAUCACUUUGGGCAAAUCAAUAUUAGGUUUGUAUGAAUGGUUCAACUGUCUUUGUUAUUUAUAAUGUCCUCUAAAUGCUCUUUGUAUCAAAUCCCAUGUCUCACAUAUGGCACAUACACUAUAAUCUUGCUUAAUAAUCUUGAAUGAAUCCUCACCUUGCCCUUGUAUGGAUACUAGAUUUGCAUUGUACUUUUUGCUAUUGAGCUCAUUACAAAUUCAUAAUAUCUCUUUAAUUAAAAAGUAAAGUAAAAUAAGUGCUUCAUCUUUGCCAAGUAACCAAGCCUCCUAUCUAACCCACAUCGAGAUUCGCGUUAAAAAGCUUUGAUCUUGUACACGUUGCUCUUCUUUGUAGCCUACUUGCCUCGGGUUAGUACAUUCCAAGGGUGCUUUUACACUCACUGUCUUAAAGUUAAUUGACUUGAGCACAUUGAUUUAACUCCCAUUACAUGGGUCUUGUAGAAAGCUUGAUUAAGUUAGCAUUUAAAAAAAAAAAAGAAGGUGAAAUUGGUGAGCUUCAUAUGCAUUAUGUAUGUGUGUUUAUCCUAUGUCUUGGAUUGUUCUUGAUUGGACUUUUUCUUUGUUAUUAAGCAAGUUUAUUCACAUAACACGAGAUUAAGCUAUGAUAUUUGCUCAUUUGAUGGACUUUAUUUCUCACAAAUACAUUUGAUUCUUCAUUUUAUAAUCCUUGUGUUUGACUAAAUCUUUGUGAUUUAAUGUGCCUUAGAUCCUGAAAGGCUUUGGUUCAAAUGCUUACAGCUAGUUAUUAGUAUUGGCUCUCCUUGGCUAUCCUCACACAUCGUGUUUGGCAUGAACAAUAUUUUUGGCACGUUUGAAAGGGGAGUCUUAAUAUAUUGUUGGCAUAGUUGUUGGUGUUUAAUUAUGUUUCUUUUAUUUUCUUCUUUUAGUUUAUACCCCUUAUUUUUCAUCUUCUUUUUCUUGGGUGCUAGCAUUGACAAAUCUUUAGGGGGAGAGUUAUUUUUCAAUUGCACAAGGUGAUGUUCUCGUGUUGAUUUUUGAUAUUGUGUUUUCCUUGCUGUUAGUUUUGGUUUUUUUUAGUAAUUGGUUUUAAUAUAAAAUAAUAAAAAAUAAAAUAAAUAAUCGAAAAACUAUUUGUUUGUAACACAAUGUCGUUUGAUGCCACUUGUUUAAGUGUGCAACUAGGUUUUGUUUCAUCUUGGACCUCACAUCUACUUUCUUGCUCUGUAUCCUCUCACUGAAACAGACUCCACAAGACCAUCCUUUAUGAUAUUAUUUGAAUGUGAAUGACAAAAAUGAAGACUGAAAGCCAAGUGAGAUACGUAUUGUGUCAUAUGGUUCUAUGAUUGAACCUAAAAGUGUGUAUAUUGUUCUUGCAGACGUUGAAUGUAUCUUGCUUAUGAAAGUUAAGCUAAUUCAAUUCAUAAGGAAUAUAUGGUCCCACGCUCCACGGAGUCAAGCAUACAAUUAUUCAAGUUUCACCAAAUAGGCGUCAAAACUACAUUCCUCAAUGGAAUUUCACAAGAAAAAGAGUAUAUGUUGACACAUCUGCAAGAUUCAUAGAGCUUCUCAAUCUUGUUCUCUUUCUUAGUCAAGACAUGACAAAUACCCUCCAGGGCAUCUGUGGUUAAUCUCUCUGAUUUUUGUUGAUAAUCAUUUUCUUCCAUUUCCCUAUCCUUGCUUGAUGUUGUCAUCCUUCUCGUUUUUGCUUCUGACACAUUUCAUCUUAUAUUUUCUCCCUUGUGUAUCUUCAUUGGCCUUUGGAUUUCCUGAAAAAAAUGAGGAGAGAUGAUUGUGUGAAUUGUGAUAAAAAGGGGGAGAUGUUAUGUUAUGGAAUUAAGGGGGAGUCAUAUUGUAAUUUUCCUUUCAAAUUACUUUUCUUCUCCCAUAUGCUUCAGUGGUUUUGUUGUUUCAUGUUGUGUAGGAUUAAGAGCUUUAGAGUAGGAUUUCUUUUGUUAAAUCCCAUAUAAUUUCUUUUGAGUUGUAAUGAGUGUUUUGUCUAGGAAAUGCCAAAGGGAGAGAUUGUUAGUAUAUGAUUAUGUGAUUGGCAUUCCCUAAACCUUAGAUACAUUAACAUAGAUGGUAAAUUUGUUACGAUAGACUCGCAAUGACAAAUGUCUCCAUCCCAAGCCCUGAUUCUAAGGCAUAUGGGUCAAUCAACAAUUUCUAAGGUAAUAUCAUCAUUCAAUCAUGUAUCUUGAUUGUGCUGAAUUUAUAAUUGUUUUCAAAUCAAGGAUUUGUUUGGAACUCUGAUUUUAAAACAAUUAAAGUUUGAUUGGGAAGACUUUUUGUUUAAAGGAAGUUUGUUUCUUGUUUUGAAAACCACUAUAAAAAGGAAGCCUAUGCUUCAAUCUCUACACAACUUUCAACGUGAAUUUUCAGAUUUCCAAAUAAUUAAAGAAAGUUGAUGUGCAUUGUUUUCUUAAGGGUAGAUCAUCAAGAGUAAGAUUAUCUUGGUGAUUUGUCAUUUCAUACAUUUGCAUUUAUUUGCAUAAGUUACAAGUGCCUCAUACCUCCAGCAAGUUUCAAUUGAUCCCGCCCAGUAUCUCAUUCAACAUAAGGAGAGAAAGAAGUAAUCCUGCUAGAAGUUGAAUUAAGAAGAAGUCAGUAAGCAUUAUCUAGAAUGUGUAUAGGAUAAGUGUGUGAGUACUUCUCGUAAUCAUCAUUCCAUAGUGGAUUUCUUUUGGGUUGAGGAGUCUUGUGGAUUUUCCCUAGAGUUAAGGUUUUAUCACGUAAAAUAAUUCUUGCAUGUUCUUUAUUUUUACAUUAUGUACAUUUAAGGAUUGAUACCACUUAUCAAUCCCUUGGGCGUGUUUUUUUUUUUUCCUUUGUUACGCUUAAAAUUUGUAGAUAUAUUAUUCACCUCCCUUCUAGUGUUUUAAGCUCUCUUACAGGUAAUUUCAAGUCAUAUGAGAAUAUAUUCUUAGAGUUUGUUGGCCUGGUUUCAUGCAAGUCAUUUUAGUUUAAAAAGUUGCCAAUUUUCAUUUUGGGUCCUUACAAUUUGCUCGAGGGCCUUUGUCGGAUGUCUCAACUAUGCAAAAUGCCCACAAAACUAAUGAGAUUCUAGACUUUGGCCUUUGUCUGAUCUUCUUGUGAUGGCCAUUGAAGUAGAAAGUUUGAAGCACUCUUGAGAGGCAGAAUGAGCACGAGUCAUGAGAUCCAAACCCUCGAAGCAAAAGUUUUUAACGCAAGACACUAGAAAAAAAAGAAAAAGAAAUAAAGACUGGUCUUAUAUUUAAAGUAAAGACUUUUAAUUUGAGAGAGGGAAACAUCAAAAAAGAGAAAAUGUUUUAUUAUUUUUUCUUCUUUAUGUGACGAAUAUGCAUUGUCAUUUUUUCUUAAUCAUUAGAUAAUUUUGACCAAAAAAAUAAAAAUAAAUCAUUAGAUAAUAUUUAAAUGAGUUGGUAGGUGAGAAGAGAAGUUAAGCAAAUAUCCUUAUUUUAUACCGGUGCAUGUAACUAGUCUAUAAUUUUAUUUUAUUUUUGUCAAAAUUAGGAAGGGGGAGGGAGGAAAUUUGACAACUCAUGAGAUUGUGAAUAUAAAAUGAAGCUGUUGCAACACUCGUGCAAACGAAGUUGAUGGCUGGAAUAUUUUGUAGUAAAGCUAUAGACGGUGCUGUUGAUGCGAAAAAGUGGUUCAGCACGUAUUUCGUCAACUUAGUGAUUUCAGGCCUUCGGUAGGUUACUGUCCUCGGUAGACGUUCUACUGCAGAAGGGUGAGUACCUACAAAAGGUCACGUUCGGUAAGUCCUUGAGGUACCGGUGUGGUACCGGCCGAAGGCUCUCCGAUGCUUUAGUAAGUACGGUUUUAGUAAAGAUAACUGACAGAUCAAUUGAUAGCGUACCGUUAGUUCUGAUCCCCCCUUUUGGGGAUAGGGGUCUUCUUAAAUAGGCCUUGGGAGGUGUGCACUGUGCUCAUAUUUCUGAUGUGGGACUGUGGACAUGGAUUGUGAGCAUGACACGUGUCCGAUGGUAAAAAGGGGCCAAGAUAGAUGGCUUCGGUAGGAAGCAUGCUGAAGAGGAUCUAUAAUCAAUAUCGAUCCUGUCCACGUGUUCGGUGGUCAUAGGCCGUUUCUUUCCGGUAUAAACAGUAGUCCCCCAAGUUCUCUUCCGAAGGUCCUUCGGAAGGGAAGUUAGUUCUCCAUGGCGGUUCGGAGGAUAACCUGCCGUUCGGUAGAUUGGCCUGGGACUCGAGGGGUCGUUGAUGCUGAGAGGGUUUUGGGGGCAGAGAGACGCUUCGUCUUCCGUGCCUGGCGUGCAGUCAGCCGCGCCAUUCGCCGGGUAACGCGUGGCCAGUAAAAGCACGUCUGACGGCGCAUUGAUGAGCCGUUUAGUCUUUCGAGGCGUACCGUUACACCUCUCUCCCUAUAAAUAGAGAUGGCUCCGGGUGUAAGGCUCACUUUGCAAUUGUGAGUUUGACGCGAGAGCUCUGCGCAGGCGAUUUCCAAAGAGAGUGAACGGCAAACAAGGCGAUUUUUCACAGCGGUUCUCGGCACACAGGGCGAUUUCCAACGAGACAUCAUCCCACACUACUCAAGGUAAGAUACCGUUCGGUACCCCCUGAAUAUUCUCUCUUUAUGUAAUUAUACGUCUUUCCAUGGCGUAGGCUAGCCGAUCGUUAAGUAGGAUUUUCCUUCGGUAGUCUAGUGGCCAUAGGUAGCGAUGUAGGUAUCGGUAGGGUAGUUUGUGGCACGGGCCCUAGCUUCCCUUUCUUUGUUUUGUAGAUGUCCGAUAGCGAGUCGCCGUUCGGUAGUGAGCCCAACGCUUUCGAUGAGGAGUUGUCCUCGGGCUGGGAUACGUCCAGCGGGGCCGUGAGCCUCGGCGCCGAGGGUGGAGAAGGCUCUGAUGCCAAGUUAUUCGGUGAGAAGGUGAACUCCGUUCCCACCCAUGACAUCGGUAAGGGGCUUAUGACGGGGCAACCGCUACCCUUGGCCGCAGUGUACAAGGACGGUACCCGUGUCGGGCCGUUCGAGCACCAGCCUGAGGCCUCCACCUCUGGUCGUAGUGAGGGCACUGCCGGUCCCUCCCGGCCGAGGGUAACCAUCGUCCACCUAGGGCCGCCUAGGAUACCGGUGGGUGUGCCCCAGAAGACUCUGUUCGGGGUCGACUACCUGGAGCCCAAUAAGAUCACCGAACGGGAGUUGGAGAAGAUCAGGGCCGAGUACCUCAUUCCAGAUUCGGUGAGGAUGAGGAUACCGAGCCCCGUCGAAUCCCUCAGCGACCCAGCGAACGGUGAAGUGACCUUCUUCACCGACGUUCUUCUGCAAGGGGUUCGGUUGCUGUUGCAACCUGCAGUGCAGAAGAUCCUUGCCCAGAUCGGGUAUGCUCCCGGCCAGUACAACCCCAACUUCUGGGUGGCCUUGAUGGGGGUGAUCGCUGCGUUCGGGAUUGCCGAGGAGGGGGAGCCUUCCUACGAGCAGUUCUGGUAUUUGUACAGCGUCACCAAGUCCAAGAGCGCCGAUCACGGCGCCUGGGUUCAGGCGAACUGCCUGAAGGCUUCCGAGCGGGGACAUUUCAUUAGCUCGGUGCCGACUUCUCAGAAGUCGUGGAGGAAUCGGUGGGUGCUGCUCUCCGAUGAUUGGGAAUCGCCAUCGGGAACACCCCGUAGCUUCCCGGUCCCUACGACAUUCCAGAUUGCCGGUAGGUUUUCGAACUACCGAUCGGUAGGCUGGCUUCUCUUCUCCCUUGUUGCAUUUUAUUAAUUUUUCUUCGUUUGACAGGCAAACUCAAGCAGCCGAGCCCCAAGCCGAGUGAGAUCCGGCAGCUUGACAGAGUGAGGUCAAGAGUACCCGCUGCCGAGCGAGUUUAUCCACGCUUCCUCUUCACCGACAACCUCGUCAGAGCUGGCCUCGCUAACCCUGCCGAGAGUAAGUAUACCUGUCCUCUUUUUUUUUUUUUUUUUUUUUUUUUUUUUUUUUUGCUUUUGCUUGCCGACUGACCGAUUGCCUUUGACCAGUGACGGACGCUAGGAAGGCUGCCGAGGCGAAGAAGAUGAAUGAGUCCUCCAGGAGGCGCCUGAUGAUGGGCCUGGAGGGCAAGAAAAAGAAGAAACAGCUUGAGGCAGCUUCCGUUCGGCAGGCGGUGGUGGAUCCGGAGGAUCANNNNNNNNNNNNNNNNNNNNNNNNNNNNNNNNNNNNNNNNNNNNNNNNNNNNNNNNNNNNNNNNNNNNNNNNNNNNNNNNNNNNNNNNNNNNNNNNNNNNNNNNNNNNNNNNNNNNNNNNNNNNNNNNNNNNNNNNNNNNNNNNNNNNNNNNNNNNNNNNNNNNNNNNNNNNNNNNNNNNNNNNNNNAGGGCCGUCCUUGCGGUGGAGGACGAGGACGGUCCGUCCGAAGCCGUCACGAUCACCUGCCCCGCGAAGACGGUGCAGUUCGUCAACCAUAUGAUCCUCUGCUCUCAGAUGGAGCUACCGGAGAUCGACGAGCUGCCGAAGAAGUUUCUUCGGGAGGAGGCCGAACGCGCCUUCCAGCUUCAGGCCUCGGUAAGAUUUUUGUUCUCUUCUGGCCAGGCUCCUUUGGCUUUGUCCAGCUGCCGUUUCAAUAGUUUCUUGAUGAUUUUGUUUAUUGCUUCCACCUGACCGUUUGACUGGGGAUGCGCCGGUGAUGCGAAAAACAGGUUGACUUUCAGGCGGGGUGCAAAAUUGCCUGAAGAGUUCCGAAUCGGACUGCCUGCCGCUGUCGGUAAUGAUCGCAUACGGGGAUACCGAACCGGGCAACAAAGGUGAGUCCAGACGAAGUCUUCCACUCUUGCUGCCGUUAUAGUUGCCAGGAGGUUCAGCCUCCACCCUUUUGGUGAAGUAGUCAACGGUUAACCACUGUGUAUUUCACCUGGCUUUUCCCCUGCGGCAUUGUACCGAUUAGAUUCCAUUCCCCANNNNNNNNNNNNNNNNNNNNNNNNNNNNNNNNNNNNNNNNNNNNNNNNNNNNNNNNNNNNNNNNNNNNNNNNNNNNNNNNNNNNNNNNNNNNNNNNNNNNNNNNNNNNNNNNNNNNNNNNNNNNNNNNNNNNNNNNNNNNNNNNNNNNNNNNNNNNNNNNNNNNNNNNNNNNNNNNNNNNNNNNNNNNNNNNNNNNNNNNNNNNNNNNNNNNNNNNNNNNNNNNNNNNNNNNNNNNNNNNNNNNNNNNNNNNNNNNNNNNNNNNNNNNNNNNNNNNNNNNNNNNNNNNNNNNNNNNNNNNNNNNNNNNNNNNNNNNNNNNNNNNNNNNNNNNNNNNNNNNNNNNNNNNNNNNNNNNNNNNNNNNNNNNNNNNNNNNNNNNNNNNNNNNNNNNNNNNNNNNNNNNNNNNNNNNNNNNNNNNNNNNNNNNNNNNNNNNNNNNNNNNNNNNNNNNNNNNNNNNNNNNNNNNNNNNNNNNNNNNNNNNNNNNNNNNNNNNNNNNNNNNNNNNNNNNNNNNNNNNNNNNNNNNNNNNNNNNNNNNNNNNNNNNNNNNNNNNNNNNNNNNNNNNNNNNNNNNNNNNNNNNNNNNNNNNNNNNNNNNNNNNNNNNNNNNNNNNNNNNNNNNNNNNNNNGCCGUUACCUGGUUCACAAUGAGCUGGGAGUCGCUGUGAAUCCUGAUUUGUUUUGCAUUCAUGCUCUUGGCUAACCGAAGGCCGGCCAAGAGAGCCUCAUAUUCUGCUUCAUUGUUGGAGGUUCGGAAGUUGAAUCGGAGGGCGUACUCGAUCUUGAGUCCCUCUGGUGUUGUCAGUACCAAGCCUGCUCCGCACCCUUGUUGGUUUGCCGAGCCGUCGACGUGCAUAACCCAUACGGGAUUUGAGAUGUCGAACCAUUCGGCGUCUACUUCCAUUGGCGUUCCGGUUUCGGUAACCGGCUCGGGUGUCAGCUGUGCUGUUGAUGGGGUGAGCUCGGAGAUGAAAUCGGCAAUGGCUUGACCCUUUUCGGCGGGUCUUGGCGUGAAUUGUAUAUCGAACUCUCCGAGUUCGAUCGCCCACUUGAUCAAUCGGCCAGAAGUCUCUGGUUUUUGGAGCACCUGCCGAAGCGGUUGGUUAGUCAGAACUUUGAUCCCGUGUGCUUGGAAGUAUGGCCGAAGUCUUCGUGCCAAGACUACCAGGGCUAGUGCAAGUUGUUUUAAUGGGGGAUACCGAAGUUCAGCACUCUGGAGUGCCUUGCUGACAUAAAAAAUCGGUAGCUCUGCCCUCUCUGGCUUUCGGAUCAAUACCGAACUGACAGCAGUGCUAGAUACCGAAAGGUAUAGAUAGAGAAUCUCCCCAGGUAAUGGUUUUGACAGGAGGGGUGCUCUGCCCAUGUAGUCCUUUAAGUCUUGAAACGCUUUAUCACACUCGGCAGUCCAUAUGAUAUUCUGUUUGCCCCCUUUCAAGGCUUUAAAGAACGGCACACAUUUGUCGGUAGCCUUUGAGAUGAAGCGAGUCAAGGCCGCGAUGCGUCCGGUAAGGCUUUGAAUGUCCUUCGUCGUCUUCGGUCUUUCCAUGUCGAUGAUUGCCUUUAUUUUUUCGGGAUUCGCUUCGAUACCCCUGUGACUAAUCAUGAACCCGAGGAAUUUUCCGGAAGAUACACCGAAGGCGCAUUUUAUCGGGUUCAGCCUCAUCCGGUACUCUUUCAGUAUGCCGAACAUGAUUGAUAAAUUGUGCAGGUGUACUUCGGCAGUUCUGCUUUUUACUAGCAUGUCGUCAACGUAAACUUCCAUGAUGCNNNNNNNNNNNNNNNNNNNNNNNNNNNNNNNNNNNNNNNNNNNNNNNNNNNNNNNNNNNNNNNNNNNNNNNNNNNNNNNNNNNNNNNNNNNNNNNNNNNNNNNNNNNNNNNNNNNNNNNNNNNNNNNNNNNNNNNNNNNNNNNNNNNNNNNNNNNNNNNNNNNNNNNNNNNNNNNNNNNNNNNNNNNNNNNNNNNNNNNNNNNNNNNNNNNNNNNNNNNNNNNNNNNNNNNNNNNNNNNNNNNNNNNNNNNNNNNNNNNNNNNNNNNNNNNNNNNNNNNNNNNNNNNNNNNNNNNNNNNNNNNNNNNNNNNNNNNNNNNNNNNNNNNNNNNNNNNNNNNNNNNNNNNNNNNNNNNNNNNNNNNNNNNNNNNNNNNNNNNNNNNNNNNNNNNNNNNNNNNNNNNNNNNNNNNNNNNNNNNNNNNNNNNNNNNNNNNNNNNNNNNNNNNNNNNNNNNNNNNNNNNNNNNNNNNNNNNNNNNNNNNNNNNNNNNNNNNNNNNNNNNNNNNNNNNNNNNNNNNNNNNNNNNNNNNNNNNNNNNNNNNNNNNNNNNNNNNNNNNNNNNNNNNNNNNNNNNNNNNNNNNNNNNNNNNNNNNNNNNNNNNNNNNNNNNNNNNNNNNNNNNNNNNNNNNNNNNNNNNNNNNNNNNNNNNNNNNNNNNNNNNNNNNNNNNNNNNNNNNNNNNNNNNNNNNNNNNNNNNNNNNNNNNNNNNNNNNNNNNNNNNNNNNNNNNNNNNNNNNNNNNNNNNNNNNNNNNNNNNNNNNNNNNNNNNNNNNNNNNNNNNNNNNNNNNNNNNNNNNNNNNNNNNNNNNNNNNNNNNNNNNNNNNNNNNNNNNNNNNNNNNNNNNNNNNNNNNNNNNNNNNNNNNNNNNNNNNNNNNNNNNNNNNNNNNNNNNNNNNNNNNNNNNNNNNNNNNNNNNNNNNNNNNNNNNNNNNNNNNNNNNNNNNNNNNNNNNNNNNNNNNNNNNNNNNNNNNNNNNNNNNNNNNNNNNNNNNNNNNNNNNNNNNNNNNNNNNNNNNNNNNNNNNNNNNNNNNNNNNNNNNNNNNNNNNNNNNNNNNNNNNNNNNNNNNNNNNNNNNNNNNNNNNNNNNNNNNNNNNNNNNNNNNNNNNNNNNNNNNNNNNNNNNNNNNNNNNNNNNNNNNNNNNNNNNNNNNNNNNNNNNNNNNNNNNNNNNNNNNNNNNNNNNNNNNNNNNNNNNNNNNNNNNNNNNNNNNNNNNNNNNNNNNNNNNNNNNNNNNNNNNNNNNNNNNNNNNNNNNNNNNNNNNNNNNNNNNNNNNNNNNNNNNNNNNNNNNNNNNNNNNNNNNNNNNNNNNNNNNNNNNNNNNNNNNNNNNNNNNNNNNNNNNNNNNNNNNNNNNNNNNNNNNNNNNNNNNNNNNNNNNNNNNNNNNNNNNNNNNNNNNNNNNNNNNNNNNNNNNNNNNNNNNNNNNNNNNNNNNNNNNNNNNNNNNNNNNNNNNNNNNNNUCGUCAAUUUUUCUCAAGGCUAUACAGUCUCAGUAUAUGGCUGUGUGCUGAUGUAUCGGCAGAAUUUACCGGUAUCCCGGUUGUCUUGCCGAUUAUGUCUUCGGGCAUUCGGCUUCGGUAUUAUUUCUUGUUCGUUCAUCAGGACAGCCUCGUAGGUAGUGUUCAACAGGGUGAAGACUUCAUUGCCGUGGUCACGAUUCGGCUGUGGCUCUCGGUUGUCGUUGCGACCAUACCGCCCUUUCCCUUCUUCGAGUGUUCUCUUCGAUCGGCGCGGUCGUCUUUUCUCUUAUGACCUGUCGAGUACGUGUCGACUCUCCCGUAGGGUGUCGCUUUUGCCAGAUAAGCACUUGGUUCGGCGUCUCCUCGCGGUGCCGAAGCCGCAGGUUUCGAGUUGAAAUAUUCGGCUUUGGCGUGGAUUGCCGCCUGCUUCAUCAGCUCGUCGUACGUGCGCCAGUUGCUGCUGUGUACUAGGUAUCAAAAAUGUGAGGACCGAAGGCCACUCUUAAAGGCGUCAUAGGCUGCCCUAUCGUCUGUUUCCGGGCACCUUGAGUACUCGUGACUGAAGCGCGCCGCGUAUUCUCUCAAUGGUUCGUCCUCUCUUUGCUGAAUCGUGUACAGAUCAUCGGCAGAGUAAAGACGGUCCGUUUGGAUCAUGAAGUGGUUGAGGAAAAUCUGCUUCAGUUCGUCGAAGGAGUCUACCGUUUCUGGCUCCAACCGGUAGAACCAGUUCAGGGCUGCCCCGGUAAGGGAGGACGGGAAUAGCAGGCACUGCCCUUCAUCGCUCAGGCCCUUGCAUCCAAUGGCGGACUGAAAUGAGUGGAGGUGUGUUAAGGGGUCUUCCGUUCCCGUAUAGAACGGUAUACGCAGUUGCUGCCCUUCCCGAUCCUGCCGAGAGUCCCGGAUGCGCCUGGUAAACGGUCCUGACCGAAGCUUUCCCCACUCCGGUCCUUGGGAGCGGGCGUUGUGGUUUUCCAUUUUCUGGAUUUUUUGAAAAAGGAGUCUGACAAUGGGGUCCCGGCUAGGGAUUUCCUCGGAACCGUAAUCUUCCGAUCGCCUUCGUAGGUUUGAUGGAUCAACCCCCGCGUACUGUGAAGGCAUUGCCGAACGGUAGGUGGAAGUUUGCGUCUGGGAAGGGAUAUAUUCGGAUCCUGACUCUUCUGCGGGGUCCAGCCCUCUGACCUUCCGAAUAGGCGACUUGUCUCCUAGGAUUUUCGUCCGUGAGUCCCUUUGUCGAGUGCCAAUCCUGAUCGGAGACCUUUGUCUCUCUGCCUCCCGAUCGUUAAUUCGAUGUCGACAAUCGGUGUAGUCUUUCUUGGGGAUGUGCGGCUGAUCCCUGGGUGCCGGAACUACCAACUCUCUGGAAGGUGCGGGCGUUGCCUUCUGUACCUUCUCGCGUUUCUUCUUCCUAUGGGGGGUCUGCAAGCUCUCGGAAGAGCGAGUUGUCUGGAUGUUCUGUGUGUGCUGCUGGUGGAGCAGCUGCUGGGUUUCGUCCACUUUGGACGAAAGAAAAUUGUUGUGCUCCUAAAGCCUCGCCAUGUUCUUCCGUAAGGACGCGAUUUGGACUGCCAGCUCUGCUUCGACGGUUGUUUGGGUUGCGGGAGCAUUCCCGAAGGGAGUGCAUGGGGGUAGCGCUGGGCUAGCUCCGCUCUGCCUUCCGAACGGUACGCCUUCUUCCGAUAAGAACGUGGGUACUGAAGUGGUCCCCAUGUGUUUUGGAGAUGGUGGGUUGUUAAUUUUUUUUUGUUUCCCACAGACGGCGCCAAACUGUUGAUGCGAAAAAGUGGUUCAGCACGUAUUUCGUCAACUUAGUGAUUUCAGGCCUUCGGUAGGUUACUAUCCUCGGUAGACGUUCUACUGCAGAAGGGUGAGUACCUAUAAAAGGUCACGUUCGGUAAGUCCUUGAGGUACCGGUGUGGUACCGGCCGAAGGCUCUCCGAUGCUUUAGUAAGUACGGUUUUAGUAAAGAUAACUGACAGAUCAAUUGAUAGCGUACCGUUAGUUCUGAUCCCCCCCUUUUGGGGAUAGGGGUCUUCUUAAAUAGGCCUUGGGAGGUGUGCACUGUGCUCAUAUUUCCGAUGUGGGACUGUGGACAUGGAUUGUGAGCAUGACACGUGUCCGAUGGUAAAAAGGGGCCAAGAUAGAUGGCUUCGGUAGGAAGCAUGCUGAAGAGGAUCUGUAAUCAAUAUCGAUCCUGUCCACGUGUUCGGUGGUCAUAGGCCGUUUCUUUCCGGUAUAAACAGGUGCCAUGGCACGAAAGAAUCAUGUAUGAGCAAUUCUGGGUUUAGGGUUUGGAGGAUGUUGGAGAAGUUUGGGCUAGCAAUGUUGAAGGCCUAUUUGAUAGUGGGCAGGAGAUGGAGUGGGAGGCAAUUAGUAGGGGCGGAGCCACGUUGGGACUAGUGCAGUCCUCGGUCCCCACUGAAUUUUUAUUAUAAAUAAAAAAAGUAGUAUGCUGUUAUUGAAUAACCCAUAUUAAUUAACAUAUUAAUUUUACCAUGUGGGGCUUUACCCAACCAAACCUAUGUUUCCUCCAAGACUACGCCUUCUUUUGCAAACCCAUCCCAAAAGUUUUAAUAAAACUAUUAUUAUUAUAUUAUGACAGGACCCGACCCAAAUUUCACUUUGGAAUCUGAGCCGAGCCCUGUACGUGUCGGACAUCUGGCUAAUGCCGAGCACAAAAGACCAAAUUGCCCUUCUAACCAAAAUCCAAAGGAAUUCAAGUACGACUUCUGUCAAAAAUUCGGCAGAGUCACCCUUAUAAAUUGAAUAUUUCCCAAAAAUUUCUGCCUGUAAAACAAGCAUAUAUGCUUAUAUAACUCAUUUGUCAAGAUGCAUUAAACCAUAUCCAAGCAAUCAUGCAACAUAUCAAUCUUGCCUCAGGUCUCAACAAAUCAAACACAUCGUUAUGCUAACAACAUGCAAUUCAAUUUCUUAGAAUGUCCUUUGAACAAUGUUAGUUUUCAUAAUAACUUAACUGGACUACCUUUUUAUUAUAUGACCUCGUGGCUGCACCUAGAAUUCUAGGUUGCCUACGUACCCUUAACAAGGAAUCAAGCCACACGUAGUUCUUUCCUACAAUUGCAAAACCACUAGUUCUCAUAUUUCAGCCCAGCCUCCUGUUUUCUAGGCUUCCUGACAUUUCUCACAUGGCAAUAUAUAAUUAAAUGAAGGAAUAAAAACAUUUAGAUUCAGGUAAUCACACUUGGAAAACCACAACUAUCAAUUCCUCGUGACACCUUGGUGACACAUCCUGCCCUAUAAUCCUUGCUAGACUCAGAAGACAUCUGGUCAACCUGAUCCACAAUCCUCGCUCCCACGGUUCAGACAUCUCUAAGACUCGUGGGGCAAAGUAUGCUAGAAUACUUGAGCUAUUUAAUACCAUAUCCAAUAAUAAAAAGAUAAAGGCAAACAACUUAGAAAGAAUAAAAUAAGAUAAAUUAAAGCAAAAUGGAUUAAAAUAAAAUAAACAAGCUCCGACUACCCUUGUAUCGAUCUCGCGUAAGGUUCAUAAAUAAUUAAUUAUAUAUACAUAUAUAUAUCCGUCUUUCUCUUGUGACAUAAAUAUAUCAAUUAAGAAAAUAAUAGUAACCGUAUAAAAUUCCUCAAUUUUAAUUUAAAAGCGUCUUAAAGCUUAAAUCCUCUCCAUCUAGGCAUACCCCUAUUUCUGAUCCGUCAUUUCCUUUAAUACCGUCAAUUCAAUCUUCGCAGGUCUUGGAGAUACCACUUCAAUCCGAGUGGCAUUCCUCACAGGUCUCAGAGAUAAUACUUCAAUCAGAGCUGCAUUCUUCGUAGGUCUCAGAGAUAACACUUCAAUCUGAGCCACAUUCCUUGCAGGUCUCAGAGAUAACACUACAAUCUGAGCCGCAAUCCUUGCAAGUCUCGGAGAUACCACUUUAAUUCGAGCCGUAUUCCUCGCAAGUCUCAGAGAUAACACUUCAAUCUGAGCCGCAAUCCUCGCAGGUCUCGGAAAUACAACUUCAAUCUGAGCCGCAUUCCUAGCACCGCACGUUUCGAGCUUCCCCGAAACUUGUAGGACAUUAUCAAUAACCAAAAUGUUUCAAAGUAACUAGGGGACACCCUCGUGGUGAGUUUGAAAACCAUAACCCGUCAUUUAUAUCAACUUUCAGUAAACUUAUUCUCAACUAAACUUAACAUAUAUAUACCUUUAUAUGCCACAAUCUGAUGAAAGCCAAGUGCUAUGAUUCAUCCUUUUCAACUAUUGAAUGUACAUAUAUUAAACACUUAGCUAGUAUGUUAGCCAUAUUGAUCUCUGAUUAACAUAUGGUUCAAAUAUUAUAUUAAUAACCUUACAACAUAAUUAACCAUAUGAAUAUAUAAGCAUGUGAUAAAUCAAUAGAUAAUUAAAUACUCAUCCUGAAUUCACAUAAAAUCAAGAAAUUAAGACCAUAAACAAACCAAUUGAACACUUGCACGCACAUGAACUUUCUAAAAGCUUAAACAUAUUCUAUGGAGCUCAUCCUUAUUAUUUAAUCCAAAGUCCUGGCGUUGGGCUCCUAGAAGUGCGUGCAUUGAAUUGAAGGUCAUUCUCAAGCCUAUGUAAGCUUUUUCACUGAUUAGAACAGUCUAGAAGUGCCUCGGGACUCAAAAAGCGUUAAGUCCCAACAAGUCAACCUGGAACCCCGUGGGGUCCACAACCUCAAGACUCUGAUCCGAGAGUUCCUAGAGGUUCUAACAUGCCUAGGACAUAUGUCCCGAGAGUCUGGUCUCGAUCGGAAGGUUGGACUACUCACGAUUGCACGAUUGGAUGGUUACUGUAAACCUAGCCUUGGGUUGGCCUUUUCGAAUUAUCCGGGACUCCGAUUCACGACCCAUUGAAUCCUACACAAUCCUGGAAUUACAUAGAUCAACAUAUAAGAAAUUGAAUGCGAUCCAAAUGUUCAAACGUAUCAAACCCGAAAAUCGCACGAUAUGCGAGAUCCGUUCGGGGUUCAAACGUUGUCCGAAUUGAGAUCUGUAAAUUCCUACUCACUCGUGACAACAUAAGGAUAAUUUUAGGACUGAGAGUGACCUCACCAGGCUUCCACGCGCUGCCACACGCACCGGAAGAACGUGGGUGGCUUGAUCAAAUUUCGGCAACCAGAAAUCUUCAAAACUGGAAAUCCGCUUCCUACCCUAGGUAAAACACCUUAUUUAGAACCACUUUUGUUCUUGGAGCUACCCCAAAAAUGAGACGGAAGUGGCUGGAAUCGAAGGCCGAAACUGGCCAAAACUUCAAUCGCUUAAUCAACCAACUAAACGCAGAAAUUUCUCAAAAAUAACACAACCAGCAGCUAGAACAUGUUGAGAGGAUAGAAAAGCAUACCAAAUUCGAAAGAUUUGGUGGCCGGAGGAGUCCGAACAAGCUCCUAAAAAUUUGCUAAAAAACUGUCCAACACUGCCUGUUUCGUGGCUGAUUCUGGUGACCACGCCGGCGGAUCAAAGCUGGGACCGGUGCUGCCAAGAACGGAAGUGUGUGGUGGCGGUGGUGUAGGAGAGAAGUUGGCUGGUCGUGAAGCUUAUGAGGGGGAUGAGAAAAUCUGAGUUUUAAAACUGAACUUUGAAAUAUUUACGGUUAUGUCACUUCGUUACAACUCCGAUUUGAGCCCACUACGUGUCUACGGACUCAUCUCGACGUGCUCUAUGCAACAGUAUAACUGUAAUUUCCAAAUUCCUUACCGGUCAAAAAGUCAACUUUUUCCCUAAUAAUUUAUUCUAUGGGCAAAAUUAUCUUUUUCUCUAAUAAUUUAAUAAUUAAAAAUUAAUUAAGGACCGGAUUGUUACAUAUUACCUUUUAACACACAUAUUACCUUUGUACACAAAUUGCUAAAAAUAAAGAGAUUUUAAUCCAAUUUUUGAUUUUUUUGGUGGGAGCAAACUUUCUCAUUGUUUAUGAGUUUUGAGUUUUUCUCUCAAACUCAAUAUUAUAUUAACAAGUUUUAAAAUUAGGUUAAUUCAUAGAUGAAUGAUUGCUUGGUUGCAUAAAUUGAGAAAAAUAUUUUUAAUAGUAUAGAUGAUGUGGUUGUUAUGCAACGAUUUCAAAAUAUGAAAAUUUGUCAAGGACAAUUAUAAAUUGUAGUGAAAUAUUUUUUUUUUGGGUCAAAAUUAUGAUUGUAAUGAAUAGACAAUAUUAUUUUUGAUAUUUUAGUAUGUCUUGAGUUCAAAUUUUUUAUUAUUUAUAUUUUGUGAGAUGCCUCCACACACAUAAAAUUCUAACUUCGCCACAGGCUGUUAGUGUGGCAGUGAGGCAAGUCAGCAUGUGGAAGAUGAAGUUCCACAAAUUGAAUGCAUUGAGAGGAUUUUUGGGAGAGUUUUGGCUUGAUAGAGCUGAGAUUUACAGGUGUGGGGCAAAAUAAAUAUGUGAAAAUUAAUUUUCUUAUUGGCGAGCUUCUUGGCUUACUCUAGGAAGGGAGAUAUGUGGCCUUGAGCUAACCAUGGAAGCAUAAGAAUACUGACCAUGCUUGGAUUUUGAGAAGACUUCCUCGUUUUAUUUAUUUAUUUAUUUUUCAUGACUCUUGUUCUUGAGGCGGUGGUUGGCUUAUGGCCUCAUAUAUAAUUUGGUGUUUUUGGAGAUCAUAUAGUGAGGGAACUCUGAUGGAGAUGAGUCAUAGUUUGUGCAAGUGCAUAUGUAAUUCCAAUUUCCAGAUUCAAACGGGAUAAAUUCUUCCAACAAAGGGCUCGUUUGGGAGUACUUCUUUCUGAAACGCUUCUACAAAGAAGCAGUUUGUCAUUUGGAUGUCACAUUUGAAAGUGCUUUUACACAACAUAAUAGCGCUUUUGAUAUUUUGUUGAGUGUUUGGUUGACACAAUAAAAGCACUUUUAAAAGUACUUUACAAAAAUUUAAAGAAUCCCAAAAUAUUAUAAUAAACAUAGGAAAUAAAAAUUCACAGGAUCCCAAAAUAAAAACACAACUUAAAAAAGUAUGAACUUCACCAAGUAUAAUUUUUAAUCAUUUUUUGAAAAUAAAAAAGGAAUUAACUAGACAUAAUAAGAUUUUCAAUUCUCUCACGUUUGUCAGCCAUCUCAUGCCCAUGGGUUAGAUUUUGUUCUUCAACCAUCUCUUCCCCUAUAGUAACUCCUGCCCCGCCAGAGGGAAGUAGCUCAUCAUCAUCAUCAUACGGUUGGAAUUCUUGAUCUGUCAUUGAAUGACAUCUUGUAAAGUUGUAAAGAGUCAUUGAAGCAACAAUUAUUAUGCAUACAUAUAGGACAGCUCAUAGGAAAGCAUCUAAAACAAUUUUUUUAAAAUUUUUUUAUUUGAAUACAACCGAUAUUGGGAGUGUGGGGAUUUGAACACAUGAUCUAGGAUACAAGGGUAAUGCUCUUAAUUGUCAAAACAAUUUUUUUCUACUUUUACUGAACACCUAACUUUUUACCACCAAAAAAAAAAAACUAUAUAUAUAUUCCCAUUUGUUUUUUUUUUUUCACUUUGAUUUUUCUCAAGUUUUUAAAAAAUAAUAAUUUUUCUUUCUCAGUCAAAAUCUGAAGUCUUUGUGGUCCUUUGUUUUUCUAUUUUGGUAAAAAGCUUAGGGCCUGUUUGGGAGUGCUUCUGAAACUGCUAAAGGUGCUUUAUGACAACUAAAAGCGCUUUUGACAACGUUUGGCAAAAAAGUUGCGCUUUUGGGUCAUAGAAGCGUUUUCUGGAGAAGCACCUGCUAUGUACUUCUUCAGAAAGCACUCCCAAGUGCUUUUCCAAGAAGUACUUGGAUUUUUUAUGAAAAUUCAAAAUUUUUAUUAUAAAAGUGCUUUCGUUAGAAGUAUUUAUGAAUAGAAGUACUUCCUAGAGAAACAGUCCCAAACGAACCCUAAGGUUUCAGUAAAAGUUUAAAUUAAAAAACAAAAAAAAGGACAAUUUUGACAAUUCAAAAAAGAGGACACAUAUCACUCUUAGAUUGAGCCAUAAUAGAAGUAAGGAGGGAGUUCCUUCUAAUGGGUAAGGAGGGAAGUAUUGUAAAAAAGGAAACAUGUUACAAAAACACAAAGAAAACCUAACAGCAUUACUUAAAAAAAGUAGAGAAGUCAAGCCCAACAUUUUGAGUUUUAUACACCUACGUGACGUGAGCAUUCAAUAAUCAUCCUACACAUAUGCUGAUGUGAGCAUUCAAAAUCAUUAGAAUGAUUUAAUUGAAGACUCAACGUACGGACGUCUUUUUCACUUAGAUUCCCUUCCCGUACAAACUUGCAUCAGUUCCUCCACGACCCCAUCAAUCUCUUCAUCCUCUUUCUUGUUCAUGUUGUCUCUUAUUUUCAAUGCCUUUUUUCUCACUCCCUCUCCAAUUUUCUCCACAAAAACAUCUCUAAUCACCUUUGCGACCUCUUCUCUUUGCAAACUUCCUUCACCUGUUCUCUUAACCUCAACACCAACACCCACCUCCUCCACUAGUCUAGCGUUGAUCGGCUGGUCAAGAUGCAUAGGCAUGGCUAUAAUUGGAACACCAAACUUGAUGCUCUCCAACACUGAGUUCCAUCCGCAGUGACUCACAAACCCCCCAACACUAGAAUGCUGCAGUAUCUUUGCCUGUGGGGCCCAACCCUCCAUUAUCACUCCCUUCUCUCCCACCCUCUGUAAAAACCCUUCUGGUAACACCUCUUCAACCCUAGUAUUUUUCUCCUCCUUAGAAAAUCUUAUAACCCAAAUGAAGCUCACUUUGCUAAGCUCUAAUCCGUGAGCUAUCUCUUCUAUUUGCUCCUUGGACAGAAAGUACUCACUGCCAAAGCAUACAUACACUACAGAAGACCUUUCCAUUUUGUUCAGCCAUUUCAUGAUCCAUGUUUCCUCAUCAACUUUUUGAUCCACUGGCUCUUGAACAAGCGUGCCAACAGGCACGAUCUUUUUCCCCAUUAAAUCAGAGAGAUAAUCAAUAUAUUUUUCUUCAAUCCCCCUGGAUGUCUUUACCAAAAUGAUGUUACAAGAUCGAGCACUGCAUUGCUGAACACGGUCUCCAUCUUUGAUGCCAUUUGCUGAAGAUUCCAACACGUUGUUGAACUUUUCAGCUUCGUAAUCUUGAAGAUAAAUCGAAGGAAAAGGAAACUUGACACUAGGGUUCUUGAGAUGUUGAAUACUAAAUGAAGUAAAGGCAGCACCCAUGGUGAUGAAUUCGAUGGAUGGAAAAUUUUGCAAUGAAGCUAGAGAGGGCGCCCAUGGUUGAAGAAAAUCAUAUAUGAGCAAAUCUGGGCUUAGGGUUUUGAGGAUGUUGGAGAAGUUGUUGCUGGACAUAUCAAAGGCCCUUUUGAGAGUGGACAUGAGAUGGGGAGGGAGGCCAUUGGUGGUAUGGUAGUGAGGUGGGAGUUCAGGCAAGUCAUCAUGUGGAAGAUGGAGUUCCACAAAUUCAAUGCAAUGAGAAUAUUUUUGGGAGAGUUUAGGCUUGAUGGAGCUGAGAUUUACAGGCGUGGAACAAAUAAAGAUGUGAAAAUUUCUCUUGGUGGUCAGCUUCUUGGCUAGCUCUAGGUAGGGAGAUAUAUGGCCGUGAGCUAGCCAUGGAAGCAUAAGAAUAGUAAGUUUUCUUUGGUCAGAGUAAACCAUAUUUUGUUUUCCUUUCACUCUUUUGCUUGAGGUUGCUCGAUUAUAGGCUUAUUGGUAGUUUUUUUGUAGCUAGCUCUAUGCAUAUAUAUAUAUAUAUACACACACAUUCAUGGGAAAAGAGGCUUGGGGAUGGGAAAUCAAUUGAUUUCCUAUGUUUGGUAAAGUUCGGGUAUGAGAAAUCGUUGCUUUGCACAUGAGAAAGUAGAGGGGAAAGUGAAGCCCUCCUCCUUCCUUAGGUUUUGUUUUCCUCCUCAUGGGAAAGUUUGGGAAAAUGAGCUAAUAUUAAAUACAUAUUUUUCAUGACCAUAUUAUCCCCAUUAAUAAUUUAGAAUUACAUAAAUGCAUUCUAUUUUUAUUUGAUUUCAUAUGGGUAUAAUUGAAAAAUUAAACAAAUUUUGUUUUACAUUCCUACACAAACCAAACAUGUGAAAGGAAAUAAAGUGGUAUUUCUUGGUUACUUUCCCAAGAUUACCAAACAUAGGAAAGGAAUCUCUAUUUCCCAUCCCUUAGAAAAUGACUUGGAAAGUAAUUUCUCCUCAAAUUCGUUCCGUGAACCAAACGGAACCUGCAUAAUAGAAGUUCCAAAAAAACACGUGAUGAUUGGAUCAUGCAUAUGUAAGUUCCCGAGUGAUGAUUGGAACAAGUUCCUAAUGAUAAAGACUCGAAACAAGAAUAGUUUAAACUUUCUUCUUUGUUUGGCUUGAUAUAAGACGAAUGCACCAAACAAACCGACUAAUUGCUGGCACAAUAUAAAUUGGGGCUACAAUUACCUAAUAAUUAGGUACUAAGGGCUACAAUUACCUAAUAAUAUCAACUUUCAUUAUACAGAUUUGAGAAACAAAAAGUUCAACUUUGAUGACAAGCGAUAUUAAAGGAGGGCGUAAUCAAACUUAGGAUCUUGAGUGUAGAAAUAAAUACUUUUAACAACUUGAGCUACAAGCCUUUUGUAAUAUUAAUGAUAUUUUAAUUAUACGUUUGAAUAGUUCGCUUCCUUCUCUUUUAUUUUCAUUUGUUUAUAUUUAACUCUAAUUUUAUUUAUAUUUUUGGUCAAGGUAAAAAGACUUUGAAUCUCUCUCCAAUGAUUUUCACAGCCGAAACUCCUUUAGUUUCCACAAAUAUUUUUUAAUAUUUCAUGCAUUUGUAAGUUUCCGACUCGGAUGGUUCAUGUAACCAAGAAGUUUAAACUUGUUUUUGCUUGUUCCGCCGACGAAAGCGCAACAAAAGGACAAACUACAACCAAUACUUCUAGUAUCACCAGUUCUCAUUGAAUUUGUUGCCGUGAAUGUUUAGGAUUCUGCCCAAACUAGUAUUUGCGUUUCUGAAUUGUUUGAAAACACAUAUGAAAUUAUGAUUUCUCCUCCCCAGAAGACAAAUUGACGAAGAAGUAUCAUGAUUUUGAUGACACAAAUUAGAAUCCAGGGUUUUCGAAGUGCCUAAUGGACAACUAUUAAUUUAGAAAUAUAUAUAUUUUUUUCGCAAUGCAGAAACACAUAAAUCCCAAGUUUGAAUUCAUCCUAUUUUUGUUUUUGUUUUUUCCUUUUUUAACCCAGAAGAAAAAUUGAGUGCCACUCUGCUAUGUAGAAUGCAAGUUUUAGUUUAGAUUUUUUUUUCUUUUUAGUCUCUUAUUCUACAUUUAGAUCUCAUAUAUUUACUCGCAUUUUAUUAAAUCUAAGUCAUUCAAACAAUCUGACCACUUAACAAAUUACAAGUACUCAAACUUAAAAUCAGAUUGGAUGGACAUGAGGCUUACACUGAUGAUUCUACACGUGCUGAGAAUAGUCCUUUUAUUUCUUUAUUAUUUUCUUGGUCGGGACUCGAGAGACAGGUGUAGUGUAGCGAUGGAGACGAGGCCCGCAAGACAUAAAAGUCUGAAGAAGAGAAGCGUGAAAGCUUCAUUUAGACAGUUAAGUGCAUACGUAACGUAAAGAUUCAAAGACUAUGUCCCUCUCCAAACAGGGAAAGAUCUGAGUUGAAAGCAACAAACUACAGUCACAAUAGGAAAGCAUCUACAACGUAAAGAAAAUAAGUUUACCAGAAGCAUCGGAAAGAUCUAGAGUCUGAAGAAGAGAUACUGAAGUAAUUGUUCAUCGACUGAGCUUAAAUGAAAUAUUAACUCUUUGUUGUGCCAUAAGCACAAGAUCUUAAGAAAAAAAUUCAAGAUAAACCAUAUAAUAUUUUCUAACCCACAAAAUAAUAUAGAAAAUAAAUGCAAGAACAAGAGAAUAGCAAGACACAACGAGGCUGCUUACAAUCAGUGUAAAUGAGCAAACAAAUUCACCAUCAACAAAUUAGCAUGCUUAUGAAGUGUUUUGCAACCUCACAAACCAAGGCGCCAUAUACACCAAAUGACUCUCACUGAAAAACUAAACAAAGAAACACACUCACACUAAUGAAAGCAACGUUACAAGGUAGGAGAUUGAAUAUUACAUUUACAAUACACUCAUAAGUUACAAAAACUAAUUACAAAUAUUUAGCGCAUAGGUUACAUAGAACUGAAAGGGUGGAAUGAUAAGAGCUAUGGUGGUCAUCCACCAACUCAUGCAUUUACAACACCGCCUCUUGAAUGUCCACCAUACAAUACAAUGAUAUAGUUGCGUCAUUAAACACUUUGCUUGAAAAACUAUAUGGGACAAAACUUAGGCUACGGGAAAAAGAGUGCAACACAAAUAAUAUUGAUAUCACAUUUGUCUCUCCUACGGAAUGAGCUUUGGUGAUGUUUGUAUAAAAAUUGCGUACAAACCAUUAUUGGAAGAUUGGGCUAGAGUGGGCUUUACCCUAGUGUUGACUUUGGAAAGAGACAAAUUAGGCUUAGUUGUGUAAAUUCAAUCCAAAAAAAAAUUAAAUAAUAGCCCACAUCUACAGCCAAAUACUUUAAUACUUUAAUUACUAAAGUUUUUUUUUCUUUCUCUCUCUUCUUUGGUUUAUUCAGCUUUUGAUUUGGCUCAAAUAAUGUUUAUAUCUCUCUUUGAUUUUGUUUUUUCAAAUUUAUUGAUGUUGCUUCUUUUGAAAAUUUUGAAAUAUGGACCCUCCCUAACUAAACCACUCCAUUGAGCAAAAGCCCUUGAGCUUCAAAUUUAUCUUCGUCUGAGCCUCUGAAUUUUGGUUUUUUUUAGGUUUUUUUUGUUUGUUGUAGGUUUCUUUGUUCACAUAUCUCUCUAAAAAUAGUAUUUUUCUUAAUGAAUUCUGAAAAUAGUUUUUAAUUUGAAGGAAAUAUACGGAAUUAGUAAAAAAGUAUACCACUUUCAUUAAUCUGAAGGAAAUAUUGCUUUAUAUAUAUUUGUUUAAAAAUAGGGCUUAUAAUUGAUCUCAAAAAAAAAAAAAAAACAAAUAGCCCACCCCUGUAAAUAUUCCUUAGUCCGCCAUUGCAUGGCAUAAUAUUUGGUAUGCUAUGCUAGCAUCUCAUAAGCUCUUCAAGAGACCUGAAUUUUAUGAUAACUUCUUAAAAAAUUUGAAUACAUUUCAACGAUAUUAAACUUGAAUUUGAACUCAUAAUUCAAUCAAAGUACUCAUUGAGGCAAUUUAGAUCAUUUUCAUUUUAAAAAAAUUGGGUGCACACAUUGAGCUUCAUGCUCUUUACCUUCUUAGAGAUUUUAUUUGAGGAAUUUAUAUUGCAUCACAUAUUACAUCUCUUAGGAUUUGUUCUUAUUAUGUAUUCUUUAAGAGAUCUAUUCUUGCAAUAUGCUUCAAACACUUCAUAAUCUUUAUGAAUUUUUCAUGUAGAUUUAAGGUCUCCAUGAAUAUUGAGAUUGAAACAAGGAGUAAAAGAGUUAAAAGUUUAAGAAAUUUUUUCCCUGAUUAUUUUGUAAUUAUAAUGUUGGUGAAAAUCCAAUUUCCUUUCUAGAAUUUGUGAAAUUUGUUAUUUGGCUAAGCUAAAAGUAUAAUUUUGACAAUAAAAAGCAUAUGAAAGUUUCUCUUUGGUUGGCUUCUUGGCUAGCUCUAGGAACGGACAGUGUGGCCAUGAGAUAACCAUGGAAGUAUAAUAAGAAUGCUUGGAUGCUGUGAACAAUCCAUUUUCUGACUCUUUUUCUUGAGGUGGUUGUUUUCUUAUGGCCCAUCAGAGUUUAUGGUCGACAGAUAAGCUUCAAACACAUGCAUUGGUCGUGUCAGUUGCGAUAAACUCUUCCCAACAAUCAACAAUUUCUAAGGUAAUAUCAUCAUUCAAUCAUGUGCUGAAUUUAGAAUUGUUUUCAAAUCAAGGAUUUGUUUUGGAACUCAGAUUUUAAAACAAUUAAAAUUUAAUUGGGAAGACUUUUUGUUUAAAGGAAGUUCGUUUCAAUUCAAAAAAUAAUUUUUCAGUUUUUCAACUCAAAAGUCUUCUCAGUUUUCUUAUUUUUCUUAUUGGCGAGUUUCUUGGUUAACUCUAGGAAGGGAGAUAUGUGGCCAUGAGCUAACCAUGGAAGCAUAAGAACGCUGACCAUGCUUGGAUUUUGAGAAGACUUCCUCUUUUUUUUUUCCCUGACUCUUCUUCUUGAGGCGGUGGUUGGCUUAUGGCCUCAUAAUAGUUUGGUGUUUUUGGAGAUCAUAUGGUGAUGAUCUGAUGGAGAUGAGUCAUAGUUUGUGCUAGUGCAUACGUAAUUCCAAUUUCCUGAUUCAGAUGGGAUAAACUCUUCCAACAAAUUAAGACUCUUAUCAUGCAUACACAUAAGAAGUGGAAAUUUGCUUCUGUCUUAGUUUGGCCUUGAUAUAGGACAGCUCAUAGGAAAGCAUCCAAAACAAUAUUCUUUUUAUUUUUUUUAUUUGAAUACAAGCGAUAUUAGGAGUGUGGGGAUUUGAACACAUGAUUUAGGGUACAGGGUAAUGCUCUUAACUAUAUGAGUUACAAGUCCCUUGCAAACAGUCUGAAAUACUAAAAAUAAAAAAUAGAUGCUCAUCCAUAUGCACUGUCAUGCCCCAACCCUUGGAUUUACAAAACCUUGUGUUAAGACGUGAUUCACACCUUAAUUAUAGAAUUUAAUAAAAACUAUAACUAAAAUGUGAAGAAAACAUUUAAAUAAAUAAAAUAAAUAUUUCACAUAGAAUAUUCAGUGGAAAUGACAACAUGUGAAAUCUUAAAAAUUUUACAUUAUCUUACAAGUUGGCGUGACUUGUGGAUAUUGACUUACUUUCCUUACACACCAAGAAUUCCUAUUAUAAUUGUAAUUGAUUUACUUUAAUUCAUGAUUUCCUACUGUAAAUAGAUUUAAGAAUUUAUUAUUUACUUGCCCAUUCAGGUUUCGUUGUAUUAUAAAUAUGACCUCCUACAAGGAGAAGAACAUACAGAAAAUUCCCACAAACAAAUAUUCUCUCAUAGUUUUCAUAUUUUAGCAUGGUAUCAGAGCGGCAAUCUUGGAAUUGCUGACUCUAGUUUCAAACCCCCGCCGCCGCUAUGGGGGUUGAUGAUUUUUUCAACCAUCAUGGAGGUAGCACCAUCGACUCCUUCUCUCAUUCUCAACUAACCAUCGUUGAGUUGAGUGCCCAGAUGGCUCCGCUCCUACAGAUGCAGACUUUGACCCCAAACCCGAUCCAGAAUCAGGAUCUUCUUUCGACAACCACGACCCCGAUCUCGACUAUGACAACGACGACCCCGACCCCUACUCUGAAGAUGACCCCGACCCCCACUCCGAUGACCCCAACCCCGAAUUUGUCUCUGAUUCAGAACCCGAUCCCGAUUUCGACUCCGACUCCGGCCUCGACUCAGGCUCAGAUUUCGAUCCAAAUUCCUACUCAACUUAUAUCCUAUGCAUCUUCCGCUGCACAGAUUAUGACUUCUAGACUAACGACCCCGACAUAUGGACCAGAUUGCACAUAUUGUGGUGAUCCGAGACACACUUGUGAGACUUGUUUUAAAUCGCAUGGCUACCCCGAUUGGUGGGCUAUUCUUACAGAUCAAGGACAAUGCACCAGUAAUGGUACUGGUUAUGGAUUCCAUACUUCCGAUAAGAUUGAUUCCAGGAGCUGGAUAAUUGAUUCUGGUGCAACUGAUCAUAUGACGUUUGAUCCUGAUGAUUUUCUGAAUACUACACAACCUCGACGAACUUGUAUUGCAAAUGCCAAUGGUGUUACUUAUCCUGUGACAGGGGCUGGCACUGUUGCACUCUCAUCCUCUCUCACACUGUCUAAUACUUUACUUGUUCCAUUUUUAUCCACUAAAUUGUUGUUAGUUAGUCAGCUUACUAAACAAUUGAAGUGUUGUGUACUCAUUUACCUGAGUUUUUGUUUGCUUCAGGAUAUUCACACUAAGGAGAUUCUUGGUCGUGGUACUAAGAGAGGGGGGCUAUAUUAUGUCGAUGACUUCAGUUCCGGCGUGCCUAACAGUGUGACACAUCCCUUUGAUAGCAAACAAAAGCAAAUUUGGUUGUGGCACCUUCGAUUGGGACAUCCGUCUUUCAGUUAUAUGAAGCAUCUUAUACCAGAUUUAUUCUUAGGUUUCAAGGACUCCGACUUCACAUGUGAUACUUGUAUUUUGGCUAACAGUCACCGUGUGCCCUACCUGUUGAGUACGAACAAGUGUACUUGUAAGAUCCCACAUCAACCAACGGAGAGGGGGUGAUGUGCCUUAUAUAUGCACACCUGCAUCCAUCUAGCACGAGGCCUUUUGGGAGCUCACUGGCUUCGGAGUCGUAGGAACUCCGAAGUUAAGCGAGUUGGGGGCUAGAGCAAUCCCAGGAUGGGUGAUCCACUGGGAAGUUGCUCGUGAGCUCCUAGAAACAAAACCGUGAGGGCAGAGAGAGGGGCCCAAAGCGGACAAUAUCGUGCUACGGCGGAGUUGAUCCCGAGAUGUGACAAUUUGGUAUCAGAGCCACUCUGCCGUGUGGUGCGAAUGUGCCGACGAGGACUUCGGGCCCUUAAGGGGGGUGGAUUGUAAGAUCCCACAUCAACCAACGGAGAGGGGGUGAUGUGCCUUAUAUAUGCACACCUGCAUCCAUCUAGCAUGAGACCUUUUGGGAGCUCACUGGCUUCGGAGUUGUAGGAACUCCGACGUUAAGCGAGUUGGGGGCUAGAGCAAUCCCAGGAUGGGUGACCCACUGGGAAGUUGCUCGUGAGUUCCCAGAAACAAAACCGUGAGGGCCAGAGAGGGGGGCCCAAAGCUGAUAAUAUCGUGCUACGGCGGAGCCGAUCCCGGGAUGUGACAAUUGUACUACUCCAUUUACGUUAAUUCACUCUGAUGUCUUGGGACCUUCGCCUAUCACUGCUCCUUCUGGUGUUCGAUGGUUUGUCACAUUCAUCGAUGAUUGUAUACAGAUGACAUGGCUUUAUUUGCUGAAGAAUAAAAACGAAGUGUUUUCCCGUUUUCAGUCCUUCCACAAACAGAUGAAAACUCAGUUUAAUGCUCAAAUCCAGAUUCUUCGCUCAGACAAUGGUGGAGAAUUUGUCAAUCAUGACUUUCAGACUUACUUCCAACAACAUGGAAUUAUCCAUGAGACGACUUGUCCUCAGACACCACAACAAAAUUGUGUUGUUGAACGAAAGAAUUGACAUCUUCUUGAAACCGCCCAAGCACUUCUGAUUGGCGCUCAUGUUCCUCGCUAUCACUGGGAUGAUGCUAUUGUCACCGCAGUUCACCUGAUCAACCGCAUGCCUUCUGGUGUAUUGACCUUUAAAACUCCCUUACAGGUGCUUGCGCAACACAGACCUCUGCUCUCUGUUUUGGUACUCACACCCCGAAUCUUUGGAUGUGUGGCUUUCGUUCAUCUCCACAAAAAUCAACGUAGCAAACUUGAUCCCUGUGCGCUUCGUUGUGUUUUUAUAGGUUAUGCCACUCAUCAGAAAGGCUACCGUUGUUAUCACCCUCCUACCCAACGAACCUAUGUCACUUUGGAUGUGACCUUUCUGGAAUCUGAGUUGUUCUUCCAUGACCCAUCAUCCAAUUCUACGCAUCAGGGGGGGAUACGAAGUGAAGAGCAGAAUUGAAGCAACUUGGGAAAUAAAGAAAUUUUCCUCUGUACAGAAAUGAUUAAUCAUCCUGAGUCUGGAGCACGAGAUUACUCUCUGUCGAAAAGCAACCAAUCGCCCAUUCAUAGCGAUCAAUUGCCUCACCUACCUGAUCCAUGUGAAGAUAUUUUUGAUCCGAGUCUCACACCUACAGACAAUACAGAACAACAAGAUGAAGACUCCCCCUCUAACUCAACAGUACCAACAGACCAAUCUCCUGAGAAUAUCCUUGAGGUAACUACUCCUACUAGAUUUGUGCAUUUAAAUGAUUAAACUAUUGGAUAUCAAUUACCUUUCAGGGAAAAUCGUGGGAAGCCAUCAAACCGUUAUGCACCUGAUAUUGGCAAGACAUCCAAGUAUCCAAUUGCAAAUCAUGUAUCCACUGAGAAGCUGUCUGAACAACUCAAGGCUUUUGUGCAUCAGUUGUCUGCGAUCCAUAUUCCAACCAAGGUCUCUGAAGCAUUAAAAUAUCCUAAGUGGGUCCAAGCUAUAAAAGAGGAGAUGAAAGCUCUUGAGAAAAAUCAGACUUGGACAUUAGAGACUAUACCUCGAGGAAAAAAGACUAUCAGAUGUAGAUGGGUGUUUACUAUAAAACACAAUGUAGAUGGAUCUAUCGAGCAAUACAAGGCAAGACUUGUGGAAAAAGGGUACACACAGACAUAUGGUAUAGACUAUGAAGAAACCUUUGCUCCAGUUGCAAAGUCAAACACCAUCAGAGUCUUAUUGUCCCUUGCAGCUAAUUUGGAUUGGCCACUACACCAGUUUGAUGUAAAGAAUGCUUUUCUACAUGGCGUACUCACGGAGGAGGUGUACAUUUACAUUCCUCCUGGAUAUAAUACUACUUAGACUGGAACAGUUUGCAGGUUACGAAAAGCAUUGUAUGGAUUGAAACAGUCACCACGUGCAUGGUUUGGACAGUUCACCAUGGCAAUGAAGAACAAUGGUUCAAACAGUGCAACUCAGAUCAUACUCUACUCUUGAAACAUCGAAAAGGGAAGGUAACAACAUUAAUAAUCUAUGUUGAUGAUAUGAUUAUUACUGGGAAUGAUAAACAGGAAAUAUCACAGCUACAAGACUAUCUGGCUACGGAGUUUGAGAUGAUGGAUCUAGGUGGACUCAAGUAUUUCUUGGGAAUUGAGGUGGCUCGAUCCCAGCAAGGCAUAUUUCUCUCUCAAAGGAAAUAUGUCUUGGACUUGUUGACAGACACAUGAAUGCUAGAUUGUAAACCUGCGAACACUCAUAUUGUUCAGAAUCAUCAUCUUGGAGAAUAUCAUGAUCAAGUUCCAACUAACAAAGAAAGAUACCAAAGGUUAGUAGGAAGAUUGAUCUAUUUGUCACAUACUUGACCAAACAUUACUUAUGCAAUGAGCGUUGUCAGUCAAUUUAUGCACUCUCCAAGUGAAGACCACACGAAUGCAGUUCUUCGGAUACUUAGAUAUUUGAAGUCUGCACCUGAAAAAGGACUUAUUUUCUGAAAGCAUGGUCAUAUAAAUAUUGAUGGUUAUUCAGAUGUAAUGUAACAGAUAGAAAAUCCACAUCCGGUUACUUAACAUUCAUGGGAGGUAAUUUGGUGACAUGGAGGAGCAAGAAACAGAAUGUAGUAGCUUUAUCCAGUGCAGAAGCCGAGUUCAGAGGCAUGACUAAAGGAAUUUGUGAACUUCUUUGGUUAAGAAAGUUGCUUACUGAACUUGGGUAUAAACCUACAUCCACAAUGAUUCUCUUUUGUGACAACAAGGCUGUUAUAGCCAUUGCACAGAAUCCGGUUCAGCAUGAUCGUACUAAACAUGUUGAGGAGGAUCGACACUUCAUCAAACAGAAGCUUGAGGCUAAAAUGUUUCAGUUUUCUUUUGUGAAAUCCGAGGAUCAAUUGGCGGAUAUUUUGACAAAGGUGAUUUCCAGUAAAACAUUCCACAAUUCACUGGAUCAGUUAGGCAUUGGCGAUAUCUAUGCACCAACGUGAGGGGAAGUGUUGGCGUGACUUGUGGAUAUUGACUUACUUUCCUUACACACCAAGAAUUCCUAUUAUAAUUGUAAUUGAUUUACUUUAAUUCCUGAUUUCCUAUUGUAAAUAGAUUUAGGAAUUUAUUAUUUACUUGCCCAUUCAGGUUUCGUUGUAUUAUAAAUAUGACCUCCUACAAGGAGAAUAACAUACAGAAAAUUCCCACAAACAAAUAUUCUCUUAUAGUUUUCAUAUUUUAGCAAGAACUACUCGAGAGUUUACUAAAAGAGUAGUUCAGUAUUCAUCCACAAGCUAUAUACACAAUACACUCUAUAGAUAUGCCAAAAUCAUCGCAAGCUCUAGAUUUUAGGUUCGAUACCUGCAAAAUCUAUUAGAAGGGUGAGUGAAACCACAGUUUAGUAGGGACAUAAACCUUUUCACGGUAAACUGAUAUAAUUAAAUUAAGUGAAAAAUAAUCACACAGCCAAAUAUCACAUUAUUAAUAACAAUGCAUGAAUGCUCUUCAUUUAACCCGUUAAUUCAUAUAAUUAGACAAGCUUCACGACCCAUACCAUGCUUAUACCACUUAGUCCCGAAUGCCAAUUUAUAUGAAUUAACGCCCAUUUCAAUCAUCCCAUAAUUCCCAUUUUGUUAGUCAUCUUGUCUAACUCCCUGUUGCCAGUCCUGAAUCACCAAAAAAAAAAAACCAUGUGCACUAUGGGAUCCCUGAGUACUAGUACCUGGCAAGAGUUAGACUCAACUACACAAAAGAUCAUUUCUAUUACCCUCUUAUCCACCAUUAUUUUCUCAACUUCAGAAUUCUAGCCAAAUUCCAUGACAUGAUAUAAUUAAAAUUAUGCCUUCACAACAAUGUGCCCAUUUAAAACAUCACUAAUGCACAUAUAAUUAUGCCCACAUUGUUCAAAUAGUUAAGAGUACGUAAAUACCCAAUACAUGGAACGUCAAUCAAACAGUACCACGCAUAAUAUAAUGCUCAAGAAAUUUAAUUAAAUCAAUCUCUGUAAAAGGCCCCUAAGAAACCCCUGCCUUGAUACUAAAGCUUUUGCUAGACCUAUAAGGUGUUUUCCAAUUUUCCACCGCAUUCACAAACUCUGUCUUCUACUUUUUUUCUUACUUCUCUCUACCACUAUUUCUUUCUCGUUUUCUUUGUUUUCACUUGUUGUGCAACUUAAUGUCCUAUAUAUAUACAAGGAACAAGUCGGCAGUAAGUGAUUUCCUAUUGGAUGGUGUAUUCGGUUGUUAUAAACUUACUAGUAAUAGUUAUCAAUGUAGUUGCAGAUGAGGAAGAAUGUUUUUGUGACUCUUCCAAUCCCUCUAAUCCUAUUUCUUAUCUUCUUGGUGAGUUGAUAGCCUCGAUACUUAACAGAUUUUAUACUUUGACACGUAUUAACAAGAACUAUUUUAAAAACAUAUACAUAUAUAUAUAUAUAAUAGAAUAUGUAUAUAUGUAAUACACAUAUUUAUAUAUAAUAAGAAUAAUAUAUAUGUAAUAAGAUAUAAAUAUUUAUUAGAACAGUAUAUAAAAUAAUAUAUAUCAUUCUUAUUAUAACAAUAAUUUUAAUUUUCCCAAAAUAAUAUAUAUUUAAAAAUAUGUGGUUUCACAUGCAUGUCCUUUUUGCUAUAGACACUAUUACAAAAAUCGAAAUAGACAACGGAAAACUACCGUCGUCUGGAAAGUUUUCAAACAGUCGUGAAAUCGACUGUCGUCUCUUUUACAUAAAACAACGACGGCUAUUAACCAACGUCGUUAAUACAUUCCACGUAAAAAACUAUUAUAAACCGACGUGUAAUUACUAUAUAUAUAGCCUAAAAUAAAAUCUUCAACAACCUUAGACGACGGUUUUAUUAAAACUGACACGUCUAAAGAGUGUUACAUGUCAAGAUCAAAACAAGAACCGACGUACAGAUAAUUAUCCACGUCCUAAUUGAAGUAAAAUAGACUUGGAUAACCUAGAAACCGUCGUGGUUAACAUAUACUACGUUAAAUUAACAAAGGCACUUACGUCUAAAAAGUAAAAGACAACACGCGCACAAAGCAACAGACGUUUAAAGCUUAGUACAUGUCAAUAGCCGCUCAAUAACCGCAGUAAAAUGAAUUAACCACGUCCCACAUAUGGCAGAACUGUUGCUUAUGUGAUUAUCCACGUCGCGGAGUAGUAGAACAAAGACGUUGUAACCAUAUUCCACGUCUGUUUCUUGUGAGAAUUGUCGUUUAAAUUAUACAAAGAAGCCCCUUUGACAGAGUUAGACGUUGCUCUUGCUGUAGAACCGACUUCUAACAGGUUUAAAAUGACACAAUAUUACUUAAUACUGCCGUAACAAAUCAUAUCCACGACUGCUGUUGUCAAAGACUGACGUUACAAAAAAUAUUGAAGGUGUUGACAAAAAAGAACCGACAUGGAUUAUGCAUUCAACGUCGUGUGGUCUAAAAAUAAAGGACGUGGUUAAUUUUUUCUCUACGUCAAGUGGAUCCAAUUGCCUGAUGUUGUAAUUCUUUACCAUGUUGGUUUUUAAUACAUGAUGAUGUGGUUGUCCUUUUAAAAGUCGCUUGUUUUACCCUCCUUGACGUGUGUAUGAUAUGAGACGUCAAUUGUUUUAGACUAGCUGACGUGCAGAAAAUCUGUCACGACAAUUAAUGCAACUGAAUUGCCUCUAUUUCCCCCAGACGACGGUAGGUUUUAAGUGUGGAAGUAGUGUUUUACAAAAUCGUAAGUUGGAGUAAUCUACCAUCGUGUUAUUCGAGAAUAUACCACGAUCUUUGUUUUGUACUCGGUCGCUGAUGUUUAUACUACUUAAUAAACUGACAUGUUUUCAGUUUCAGACGGCGGCUUUUGUUUCUUUAUGGUCUUUUGCAUUUUUUUUCCAUGACAUUUUUGAAAGCCUAAUGUUGGUUUUAUUUUAGAAAUCGAUUUUUCCCCUUUUUUUACUGGACCGUCGUACUUUACACAUUUAAUCAAUUUUUUUCAAUUUUUGAUUCAUCGUGCCCAAAGCCUACAUAACGAAAAUGUGAUCAGAAUUAAAAUGAUGUACAAAGGUAUUAAUUAAUGUCAUACAAUUAACUGAAUAACUAAUGUCAUACACUACAACAAUCAAUCAAUCCAUAUAUCUUCACACCCAUCUUUAAUAUUUUCACUCCCAAACUCACCCACUAGGUCAUCAUAUGUGUCAACAUUUGGUAUCCCUCUAGUAAAUGUCUCACACUCAAUUCUAAUAUCACCUAGCACAUCAUCACCAAUAACAUUAUUAUAUUCUCUAUUAUGCAUUGAUAACACUACCGACCAACCACGAUGCAUUGGGUCGUCAGCAUAAAAUACUUGUUUUGGUCAUUCCUAUGUCCAAUUUUACUCAAAUCUACAAAGGUGAAUCCAAGUUCAUCGACAACAAGGCCCAAAGUGUUAUCUAUCCAAUCACACCUCAAGACAAGGAUUCUAAACUUUUGGUAGUCAAGGUCCCAAAUUUCUUGAAUAACACCAUAAAAACCCAUAUUGGAGACAAUAGAGUUUUUAUCCUUAGCACUAGCAACUUGCAUAGUAUGUGCAAGUAAAUAAACUCCACUAUUUUGGACAGUUCGCAUAUCAUCUUGUGCCUUGGUGUUAAAUUUAACACCAUUAAUAAGAUAGCUCCUAUAUGAUGGCAUUGCCAUGCUUGGACUAGCUGCUAGCCACCUCAAAUUUUAUGAUACGCCAUUAUGCUCUUCCCCAUUAAGUUCACUUUGAACUUGCAAAUUAAUCGUAUAUAUCCUAAUUCGAUCUAACAUAUAAAAAGGAAGAAAAUUAAAAGUUGAAUAUGUCAUUCAAUAACAUAUAUACUUGAAAGUGUAGCCAUUGAAUGAAAGUGCUAUUGUGCUUAUCUUGCAGCCACUUUGUUCUCUUUCUAAAUAUUGGAUAAGUGGUCUUGAUGUGGAUCAUAUGUUCCAUACAUUGACACGAAAAAAUCAAGCAUUACGGUCCCUUGUAUAUAAGAUAACAUAAGGAAUAAUAAUAUUUAAAAUGGCUCUAUAUGAAAAAUGGAACUCAUGCGUACUCGAUAUAAGGUAGGACUUCCUCAGUAUUCUCCAAGACAUAUAGAUGUGUCUGGUUCAAAAAACCCGAUCACCUAAGCUUACUGUGCAACCAGAUAAUGGCUUUGAAACUCCCAUCUUCUAGCUUGAAGGCACUCCAACUGUACUAACAUCAGAUAAAUGCUCGGUGCAAAACUCUACAACUUCUUCAGCUAUAUACCGCUCAAUAAUGCAACAUCCGGGACGAGUACGGUUCUGAACAAACCUAUUUAGCACUUUCAUAUGUCUUUCAAAUGGAUACAUCCAUCUAAAAUAUACUGGCCCAUGUAGACGAACUUCUCUGACAAGAUGUACUACUAGAUGAACCAUGAUAUCAAAGAAUGAAGGGGGAAAGUACUUCUCAAGCAAACGCAACGUAACUACUACAUCUUCUUCCAAAUUAUCUAGCUUGGAAACAUCUACUGUCUUUGCACAUAUAGCAUUGAAGAAGAAGCACAAUCGAGUUAUUGCAUACCUUGCAGGCUUCUCCAAACAGAACGAAUUGCCACAGGGAGCAAUUGUUGCAUCAAGGCAUGAAAAUUAUGAGAUUUAAGGCCAAGAAGUCUUGAAUAUUUUUAAGAUACAAGAUUUUUUUAUAUUUGAACAAUAACCUUCAGGGACUUUCAUACCAUAGAAAGAAUUGCAAACCGCUCUCUUAUCUGCUCUUGACAAAUUCUAGGGCCUUGGAGGCAAGCGAGUACGUCUUUCUCAAUACUCGGGUUGCAAAUCAUUUUUGACCCCCAUGUUCAAUAAAUCUAACCGAACAGCAAUCUCAUCUUUAUUUUUUCUAGGGAUCUCCAGCAAUGUACCAAUGAUACUAUCGCAAACAUUCUUCUCAAUAUGCAUAACAUCUUGGACAUGCCUCAUAGGAAGGUAUUUCAAAUACUCGAGAUCAAAGAAUUUUGAUUUCUUAUUCCAACAAACUCUGUCACCAUCAUUCUCAAAAACACUUCCCCCAUUUUUCGAGCCCCAUAUGUAAUUAAUAUCUUCAACCAUGUCCUAUUCAAGUUAAUGGUUCGGGAGGCGUGCCAUAUUCAAGUUUUCCAUUGAAAGCUGCACGCUACCUCCGACAUGGAUGAUUGAUUGGUAACCAUUUUUUAUGACCAAUGUAACAAAUUUUGGGGCCAUUUUCAACCUGUGACUAGGUGUAUCAUCGCCGCAUAUUGGACAAGCUUUAUAUCCUUUAACGACACUGUAACACCCCGACUCUAAAUUAAUCCCUUAUUUAAUUAUUUAAAGAAAAUUACAAAUUUACCCUUAAGAUAGGGGUAUUUUGGUCAUUUUCUUACCCGAAGAGAGUUUGGGGCAGUGACUAGUAUUUUUGGAUAGGUCGUACUGAGACGAGUUCAUAGACACGUAGUGGGCUCGAAUCGAAGUUGUAACGAGAGAGAUAUGGUCAAAAGAAACCCAAUUGCACAAUCAUAAUUAUUUCGAAAUGAGAUUUUUAUAAAAAUCAGAUUUUUUUUUCUCUCUCUCUCUCUCUCCUCGUCGGUCUCUCUCCCUCUCCUCGAAACUCCGGCCAUCGGCCACGGCUGUGGACGGGGCCGGUACCAAAAUGACCGAGGCGUUGUCCUCCUCUAAUCCCAGCUAGGUCCCGCCGUCAGCCGCCAUGGUUUCGCCGGAAAAUGGAGAAGAAGCGGCCGGCGUCGUCCGAAGUUCUCCGCCGUUGAUCUCCCUCUUCCGGUCACCGAUUCCGACGAGUGAGGUAUGGUUUCUCACCUACUUUUCAUGCUCUAGCUGCCUGCUGGGUAUGAUUGGAUUGAUUUUUAGCGUAGGCAAUUCGAUUUUCGCAUUGAAAUUCGGCUAAUUUUGGAAUCACGAUUCCGGCUAGUUCUGGUCAGUUUUUGGGGUAGAUCCAAGAACAAAAGUGGCUCCAAAUAGGGUGUUAUACCUAGGGUAGGAGUUUGGAGCCAUGGUUUUGAGAUUUUCCGGCGAUACGUAAUCGCUUUAGACACCCAACGCUGCCCGCACGUGUGGCAGUGCGUGGGCGAGGGUAGUGAAAUAGCACUAUGUCUCGAUGAGAUCCUUAGGUUGUCACGAGUGCGUAGGAUUUCGCGGAUCUCAAUUCGGACGUCGUUUGACUAUCGAACGGAUUUUCGUAUAUUGCGCGUCAUCCGGGUUCGAUAGGUUGGGACCGUUGGAUGGUCUCGAAUAAAAUAUAUGUUAAUCUAGGUAUUUCUAGGAUCAUGUAGGAAUUCACGGAUUAUAAAUCGGAGCCCCGGAUAUUCCGAAUAAAUAAUUUAAAGUUUAUGUUUUAUAAUAACCGUCACAUCGUGCGAUCGUGAGCGAUCCGACCGGCCGAUCUGGACCAAACUUACAGAACGAGUGUCCUAUACCUUGAAGAACCCAUAGGAAUUUUCAGAUCGAAAUUUGGAGGUCGUGGGCCCCGUGGGCCCAUUUGACUAGGGGUAGGGUAGUUUGACCCUUAGUUGACCGUGAGUCUCCCGGAGUAAUCUCACCUUUCCAGGGGGAUUAUCGGGUGCUAGACUGUUGUUGAGGUUUACACGAUAUUAGUAGUAAAUUAUAUAUUUAUAUACAUUUGUAAAGGUAAAAAAUAAGUCCAGAAUGUCAGUUUGAAGUGCUUUACGCACUACCUUAGGUACCUCCCCGGAUUUUAGUUACACUACAAGUACCACCCUAUGAAAGUUAGGUCCCACGUGGCGUAGGUUAUCCGGCGUGCGGACAGGCCCUAUACGUGGCAUUGGUAGUAUCGGUGUAUGGGGAGAUUACGUGAUAAUAUGUUGAGGUCACACGUGGCGUAGGUUAUCCGGCGUGUUGACAGACCCCAUACGUGGCGUUGGUUGUACCGGCGUAUGAGGAGAUAUUGUGAUAUGAUAUUCAGGUCUCGCGUGGCGUAGGUUAUCCAGCGUUGAGACAGACCCCAUACGUGGCGUUGGUUCUACCGGCGUAUAAGGAGUUUAUGUGAUAUUAUGUUGAAGUCGCGCGUGGCGUAGGUUAUCCGGUGUGUCGACAGACCCCAUACGUGGUGUUGGUUGUACCGGCGUAUGGGGAGAUAUGUGAUAUGAUGUGCAGGUCUCGCGUGGCGUAGGUUAUCCGGCGUUGAGACAGACCCCAUAUGUGGCGUUAGUUGUACCGGCGUAUGGGAAGAUAUUGUGAUAUGAUAUUCAGGUCUCGGGUGGCGUAGGUUAUCCGGCGUGUUGACAGGCCCCAUACGUGGCGUUGGUAGUACCGGUAUAUGGGGAGAUUAUGUGAAAUACAGAGAAAUGAAAUAAGGUAUUGCCUAUGUGUGGAAUUGGGUUUUAAGGAAGAACUACGUGUGGCUUGAUCCCUCAGGGAGGGUACGUAGGCAGCCUAAGGUUAUUAGGUGUAGCCGCGGACAUAGACGUGAUUGUGUUAGGAGGUUAAAACCUCGUAUGUUGAAAUUGAGAAAAUUAGAUGAUGUAUGUUGAAAUUUAGUAGUCGUAAUUUAUAUUUAAAUUUAUCGUUUGCCUUGUUUAAGGCAUGAAUUGAUUUGCUAGCAUGCUUGGUAGUUGAGAAUUAUAGAAAGGCCGAAGGCCGUUUAUGUGAAUUGCAUGGAAUUAUAUUGUGCAUGCUGCCAGUUGUAGUUAUUAAAUGUGUUUUUAUGCAGGUUGAAAUUUUGGGAAAUGUCCAAUUUACAGGGGAGACUCUGCCGAAAUUUCGGCAGAAAGUCUCGGUCUUUAGUAAGUGGGCCUGACAUCGAGGUGAUGUCGGGGAAUCCACAGGAUCCGCCUCGAUUUUUGGAAAAAUCGGGGCGGUUCCUUUCAGACACAACCAGAUAAGUUCUCAUAGGCAGAAAAAUCAUUAAUUGUUCACAGUAAUACACCUAUGAGUGUAAAGUAAUCUCCUAUGUGUGCAUCAUACACUCCUUUAAUCCCAUCCCACAAAGAUUUUAAAUCAUCAAUCAGAGGCUCUAAGUAGACAUCUAUAUCAUUUCCAUUCUAUUUAGGACCAGAAAUCAAUAAGGUCAAUAUCAUGAACUUCCAUUUCAUGCAUAGCCAUGGUGGGAGAUUAUAUGUAACUAAGAUAACCAACAAUUGUAUCUGCUACUUAAAGAACUGUGGGGAUUGAAUCCAUCAGAUGAGAGAGCCAAUCUCAAGUUUCUUGGCUCUUUACUGAACUCGGGCCAUUUAUCAUCAACAAGUUUUUAAGACGGGAAAUUCGCUGGAUGAGACAUAUGACCGUCAAUUGCUUUUCUAGCAACAUGCCAAGUCAAACUCUUAGCUGUCAUAUGUGAUUGAAACAUCCUUUUAAACCUUGGAAUUGGAGGAAAAUACCACACCACCUUCGCUGGCACACUCUUUUUCAAGAUUGAAUCUUUGCAUUCCUUCCACCUUGAGAUACCACAAGUAGGACAAUUAGUUGAAUCUUCAUAAUCAUUCCUAUACAAGAUGCAGUCAUUGGGACAUGCAUGGAUAUUCUCAUAACUCAUCCCUAAAGGAGAUAAUGUCUUUUUUGCCUCGUACAUAGAGGAAUAUAGUGUCUUUCCUUCUGGAAGCAAAUCUCCUUGAAGUAUCAAUAAUUCUAUAAAACAAACAUCACUCAUCCCAUGUUUUGCUUUCAAAUUAUAUAACUUCACCAAAGCCGACAACAUCGUGUACUUACUGCAACCAGGGUACAAGGAUUGAUCUCAAUCCCCAAUCACAUUGGCAAACUCAUAAGGAUCAAAUCCAAUAUCGCCUAAAUCAUUAUCAUCCAUCCCUACUUCUUUAGAAACAAAACUGAACCUACUUUGCUCAUCUUCUUCCACAUUUCUACUAGCAUUAGUAGUCAAUUCCCAAGGUUCUCCGUGCCAUGUGCAAAUCUGAUAGCUUUAGUCAAUUCCAUUAAAGUAUAAGUGGUCCCUCAUAAUUCCAACCCCAAACAAUCGAAUAUUCCCACAUUUAACACAUGGACAACGAAUAUGAGUUGUAUUUCCAAGAUUUUCUACAGCAAAAUUCAAAAAUCCUUCCACCCCUAACUCAUAUGCCUUCGGUCUUCUAUCCGCAUGCAUCCAUGACUUAUCCAUCUCACACACUAUAAAAUCAUAUAUAUAAUAAAGUGAAAAGACCAGCAAUGAAACACUACUUUAUUCACAUAGCAAAGAAUGAAUUGAAAAAAAAAAUUAACCAAGAAUCAGACGACGGUUUUUACAAAAAAAAUCGUCCUGUAACAGAGGGUCAGACGACGGCAUAUCUAGUUAUCGACGUCUUUAAGCUACCCAAACCCAGAUAUUUGUAUUGCUUUUUGAAGAACCGGGUUCUGGGUUCUGGUAAACAAAAGAUGACGGUAAAUGGAGAAACACCGACGUAUCCUAAAACUUGAGACGACGGUUUAUUUCACCAACCGUCGUCGUAGUUUACGAAAAACAGAAGUCUAAAUCUCCCAUCCUCAUUCCUUUUCUAAGAACCCUUAACAAAAUGCAAACAUCAAAAUAUAAAAGAGCCAUAUAUAGCUCCCAAUUAAGAAACCAAAGCUACCAAAACAUAUAUUAAUAAACCAAAGCUACCAAAAUGAACGAAAACAUUUAUGGGUUUUACAAACUAAGAGAAUAUUGAGAGAGAGCUGAGAGAAUAUACUUACAUGGAUAUUGAGAGAGAGCUGAGAGAAUAUAACAAAUGCUUGAGAGAGAGCUUAGAGAAUAUACACAAUGCUUUGAGAGAGAGCGAAAAAUUUAAGACAAAUUUAUGUUGAAGAGAGAGAAGGAAAUAUUUUAGGGUUAAAGGGAAAUUCUGAAAAUUUUAGAUCACCGUCAAAAUUUUCAAAGGACCGCGUUUUUCAAAGACGGCUAAGGAAAACUACCGCCAUUGUAAAUCAUUUUACUACGACGGUUGAGGAAAACUACCGCCAUUGUAAAUCAUUUUUAUGUCGCCUCUAUAAAAACCGACGUCUAAAAUAUUAAAUAAUUAGAUUUGGUUUGCAUUUCGUGGGAUUCUAACGUGCGUAAUUGACCAAAAAGAGCGAGAGAAAACCAGCGUCGUUUCUAUAAAACCUAAACCCUAAACCCUAAACCCUAAACUCUAAAACCUAAACACUGAAAAAAUUAACCAAAAAUUGCUAUGGACUCCUUACAACAAUGCCUUCUAUAUUAGUAGGCUAAAAUCGGGAUUAAAUAAUUUUGAAUUUUAUGACCACCAAUGGAUCACAUAAACCUUAGGGUUAUGUUUAUGGAAAGUAUAAGGAUUAUUGUGUUUUGUCUCUAAAUCUUUUUUACUUUUGUUAUCACUUGUAACUUUGAAAUCUAAAAUUAAAAUUUUCAGGCCUUUAGGGGGGAGAUAUUGUCUCAAUGUGUUUAUAGAAUUUGAGACUGCGAAGGUUCUAGCUGAUUGACUAAGGAUGAGGCAGGAUGGAUGGAAGGUUUGCUUGGAGAUUCUACCUUUGUCAGCUCUUCUGGUUGACAUGUUGUUUAUUCUGCCUGAGGAACUACUUCUAGAUUUUUCCCUUUUCUAGCAGAACUAGUCUCUGGAAGUACUUGUGUGUCAUCCUUAUUCUUGAGGAAGACGCAGUAUUGCCUUUGAACUCUCCUCUUUUGCAUUCUGGUUAGCUUCAGAGUUGGUCUUCGGCUUUUUCCAAUAGAAUAUCAUCUACCUUCUAUGAUAGUUGCAAAGGGCUUGUCAUUUCCAGGCAUCUUAACUGGUAUUUCCUUCUUUGGCUGCUCUAUUAUUCUCUUGUUGCGUUGGGCAGGCCUUAAAUAGUCCUUCUGUCUGGCUCUAUCUCUAGGUGGAGCCGGAACUAGGCCUUGUUGGUAUGAUGUUCCAAUCCUGUCAAAAACACAAGGUGUGGGCUGACUUUGCCUAACCAGAGUUACCUCUAACUCACUUUCACAUUUGCACCUGUUGCACAAAACUACCCCAGCCGAAAUGGUUGCUUUUGGUCUUCAAUUAGCCUAUCUUUGGACUCUUCUGCCUAUGCUGGGGCUAACUUUUGCUGUUAGUUUGCCUUUCUUUUGUUUUGGCCAAUUUAAGUUGACCAUGUUGACUUGAGGUUGGGGAAAAGGGUCUGUUGUUAUCGAAUGAGGUUUCUCAGCCAGUUUUAGCCUCCAUGCUGUUAUUCCUUCCUGUAUGACGUCCCUGAAAACAACACAACUAUUGGUGGAAUGGUCCCAGGAGUUAUGCCAUCUGCAAUACUGUCUGCCCUUGAGUUCCUCUAGCUUGGGCAACUUGUAGGGUGUUUCUAUUGCCUUCUGUCGCAGCAUGUCAUCAAACAGGGCAUCAACCUUGGUUAAAUCGAGGGAAUAGACUUUGUUAUGAGCUGGUUUGUUUGGAACAAACCCUCUUGUGAAUGGUGGUGGCUUUUGGUCCUUUGGUGGCUUUGUUAAAGCCUUGCAACUGAUGAGAUGUUUUAAUUUCCCCAUUUCUGCCACUGCAACUUCUCUCUCCUCCGAGCUUUCUAUGCCUUCUUCUGAUUCUACCUCAACAAGAUUUACUGAAGAGGAUGGGGUUUUGUAAUAUGUGCCUUUGAAAGAGUUCCUCUUCUAUUGUUCUUCCCUGAGCAGCUCCUUGUAUUUAGAUGCUUUGUCUGCUAGUUCUGCCAGAUCUCCAAACAGCAUCCCAUCAAAUUUUUUUCUCAGAGAGAUUUUAAGGGAGAUUUGAGCCAUUUGGAUGAAGUGCCCUUCCUCCAUAGGGAUUCAAAAUUUCAUUUUGAGCUUUUUGAACCUGGUUAUGAAGUCUUGGGCAGGCUCAUCUUCCCUCUAUUUCCAGGUUUGAGGGCAGCAAGAUCACUGAUGGUGACUUCUGGCUGAAUCCUAAAAUAGUAGUCAUGGAAGACAUUUUCCAUCUAUUUCCAGGUUUGAACAGAAUUGGCUGGUAAGCUAGUAUAUUAGAUGAAGGCUUGUCCAGAGAGAGAAUUUCGAAAAAGCCUUAGUUUUAACAGAAGGUUAUUUUCUAUGGCUAUGCACUGGAAAGAGAAUCUGCCUAUAUGCUUAACUGAUGAAGCAUGGGUGUCUUCUCCGUUGAACAAGGUGAAGUGUGGUACCUUAAAGCCCAGGGAUAGAGGUAUUUGAUCGAUAUAAGCUGGAUAAGGCUUUCUGUAGGUGGGCCUUUCUCCUCUUCUGGCCUCAGGUUCCAUCAUCUCUCUGAUCAUUCUAUAAAGUGCCCCCAUGUCAUUCAAAGCAUUGACAUGAUGCGGGGUUCGCCCCUGUUCUGGCUAGUUGUGUUCAAUCCUUUGUUCUACUUUAUAUGGCCUGGGCAGAACUUCCUCCCUAUGCUCUUCCUCUUUUUCGAAAUCUGGAUGAUUCCUUUAGUUUGCCCCCGGUCUGUUUUUGUCAUUGUUGGCAAAGGGUUUAACUCCUACUCUACCUCUCAUGCCACUUGCUAGUGGAGGGAAUGGAUUGGGGUCCAUCCUUCUAGGUCUGUAGGGCAACACAACUGGUUGCUCAGGCAGAAGUGCCAAGGCCUGAUCACGUGGGGCCACUAGUUGUGGAAUAGGUGGAGGUUCUGGCUAGUUCUGAGGGGGUCUGAACUGGUGCAGAGCCUUCUGGAUGAACUGAAUCCUCAUGUUCUUGGAUGGGAAGGGCUCCUCCCCUCUGUCCAGCUUGGAUUUCUCCAUGUCCUGGUAUUCCAGCUAUCUGUGUGAUGAGAGGCUUCUCUUCAUAUGGCCAUGCCAGUCCUGGUAGAGGUCCAAAAGGGAGAUCUAGCUGCUGGACCACCAUGUCUAGGUUUGGAAUUUUGGCAAUAGUAGCCUCACGGUCCUUCCUGAACUGCCUGUUGACUUGCCAUUACAUCAUGGUUGUCAUGUUGUUUAGAGUAUCUUGGCUCAUUUGUGCUGUGGCUUCUUGCCGAAACACAGCCUCCUGUAUCUAGUUUAACCUUCUGGAACCAGACAUGGAACGUCUACUCGUGGUACUGCCAUGGGCUGAUUACCUAGCAUCACUUUCUUUUGACUCAAGUCCUUUUCGGAGAGCUGCUUGAUCUCUUUUCAUGGCAUAGCGUGGAUUCUGGCUAGAACUUCCAAUAUUCAUAUACUAGAGGAUUUUUCUAGAAAUAUAUGUAUUGAGAAGUCCCACUGGGCGUGCCAAAUUGUUCAUCCGUUUUAGAUUUGUUCCUGUGAUGGUAGGGUAAAGUUCCUCAUUGACUUGAAAACCAUUGGUGGUCAAUAAGUCAACUUUCUUUUGUGUACAAAUGUGCCACUGCUAGCAAUAAAAACCCUAGCAGACUUCUUAAAAAUAGAAAACUUGUGCCCAAGUUAUUAACUUCUAAAUAAGCGAUUGUGAAUUUGGGCGAGGAAUAUCUCCCAAGUAAGUUCUUUUCUUUGCCUCAGAUUGGUGAGGACUUCACAAUUUUUCACAGUACAAAACUGGUAGUUCUAGCUAGAAUAAAUGAUAAGAAAGUGAACUGUUUUCAGGCAGAACUACCUUUUACAAAGCUUAAAAAGGAAGACCAACUCUAAAAAGACAAAAAGAGCUUUUGGACUUCAAUUUCUGCUUGGAUAAAUGCUUCUGAUCCGGGCUGGACUGGGUAUGUUUGUGCUGGACUGGACUAUCAACACCUUCAACUGUCAAGUUUUAGCUGUCAAUGAAUACCAAUGUUCGAGUGUGGCAAAGCUUCAAUCUAUUUCAAGCCGUGCAAGGCUUUUUGAACGGACAGAAUUGGAACCUCUUCAGUCUGGAAGGGGUAGAAGUGGCUGAAUUUGGUGAUUACUGAGCUGGAACUGCACUGUAGUACCUGUUCUGCUUGAUCAGGGCUCUCCAUAAAUUUGUUGAGGUUUUAAUAUUGGUAAAACCCGAAGCUUAUGUUGAACCAACUUUGUAACGAGAGAAAUCUUGCUUUGAAUGACUAUUUCUCUGAAACUAAACAGAAGUUAGAGAUUCUGGAAUAUAGCUGACUUGUUUCUUAUGGCUCAAUGAGCUUUUGGUUGCUUCAGUGUUUUGAAGGCUUUUGAGAUCAAGUGAUCAUUUUGAGUUUUUAUUUUUGAUUGAUUUUUUGGCUGUCCUUUUAUCUGUUCACCUCAUCUCAUAUUUAUAGAAUAUACUGGAGUGUGAUUUCUAAUCUUUUAAUAAUGGGCGGCAAAUCUUUUAAAAGAUCUUUUUUUCUUUUUUCAAUGUCAUAAGAGAAGGAAGCUACUAUUCUGACAGAGAAAGGUUGUCAACAAUCAUCUUUCAAUUUUUCUAUGUUCACUUUUUGUUCUUUGUAAAGAGAAAGAACACAAUCUACCAUGAUGGUCAGUGUGCUUUUCCUGUUGAACAACUCCCUCGUUCUCUACUUAUCUCUUGAAAACGUAGUCUGCUUAUCUCUUGGAAAGACCACCUGAUUUGGUGCAGAGCUUCUCUAUAUAUAUAUAUAUAUAAAGGGAUUUUGAUCUUCUUCUUUUGGCUGAAAAAAUAGAGAAGUCUUUCUGUAAGACCUGCCUUCAUUAAUUUUCUAUCAACUUCUCUGUAAUAGUUGAAAAUUUUGACUUUUCAAAGCCAGGUAUUCACGUGGGGUUGUUUAGAAAAGAUCUGUUGAUUUUGUCAAUCUUUUAGGGUAGAGAUUAAAUAGCGUAAAAAGGCUGGGCUAGUCUCUUUUUCUUAGUAGAUAAAAAGCCCAAAUAUUUUGUCUCACUGCCCUUUUCUGGAAAAUAAAUGGGCUGGGUGUGUUGGAAAUUGGCCCAAUCUUAAGAAAGACUCUGGUGGCUGCCCAAAAUUGACAUAGGCUUUUCUUGAUUUUGGGCUGGGCAUGCCAAAUUAGGCCCAAACAAUGCCCCUUAAGUCUGAAUUGUUUUUGGAAUAGUUUCAGACUUAAUGAUUUGGCCAUUAAUUUGUGCGCGCCAUUUCCUUCUGUUAGCCCACAUCUGCCACGUCUGCCUAUUAUGAUCAAGACUUCGUGGGAAAGUGGGCAGUUACUAGCUAGUUAUUAUCAGGUGGCGUCUUGUCUUCUUCUUCCCACGAUUUCGAGUCUUUCUAAGAAAUUUAAAAAGACCUCAGCUCCUGUUUACUCAAAACCUAACUUCUUCAGACCUUGAUUUUCCUCAGUUUUCUCAGAAUUUUUACCCUUUUCUGCGAUCAAACCCUGCUUCCUUUCAGUUUGAUUCCCCUAUCCUAGCUCAAAACCCGAAAAUGUCUUCUCCAAAAAAUCGUGCCCAGACUUCUUCUUAUUCUGUUCCUCCUACCUACAUUACUGGGGCCGGUGUUGAUAAGCAUGUGAUUGAAGUCCGGAGCAAGCUUCAUCCUUUUGCCCAGAACGUUCUGGACAAGAACGUGUUACAUUUGUUCGAGAACACUCUUGUUUUGGAGCCUCAUCGGUUUGGUUCUGUCCCGACUGAAAUGGCAGAAUUGUUUAAAGAAUAUACUGAAGCUCCUCUAUGCUUUCAGAGCUCUUUCGUAGAUUUCAGUUUUAUAUAUAAACUAUCGUGUUUCUCCCUAUAACAUGUCGUUUUUAAGAAUUGUUGUCAAUGUUUUAUUUCCUGCUACUAUAAGACGGCGAUUAUUUAUACAUAUGAGACGUGUAAAUUAGAAUGAGACGUCAGUCUUUGGGAUUUAAAUUAAGUUUUUACGAUUUAAUGUCAUUUUAGUUCAUAUAAGGACAUAAAUGUCCUAACCAAAAAUAUAUUUAUGUACAUUGUCAAUAAAUUAAAAUAAACCUAAACAUUGUUAAAAUAAAUUAGAUCACUUAUUAUUCUGUAAUUACUUGUUAACGAAUUCAGCCCAUUCCAACCUGACUUCGUCAAUAUGUUCUUAUACAUACUGAACUGGUUCCUUUUUCUUAUCAAACUGCAAAUAAAUAACAAAAACCAACGUGUUAUAAAGAUUACAACGACUGCUUUUAAAGAAAAAGUUGUGGUACUAAAAUAAAGAAUUUAUAUCUUAAGUUUUGCCUUUUACCUUCUUCUCAAAUGCUAGGCCUGGAUCAUGAAUUAUAUCUCUCAUGAAAUGCAUCACGUAAUAGCCACACUCUACAUUUGUUGGUUGUCGAGGAGUGCCAUGUAGAUUUUUCCAUAUGACUGAUUUACAUGAUGAUUAAUUGCCUGUGUGAGAGUUAUACAUUUUGAUUGAACUGUUUCAAGAAAAUGAAAAGUGUUAAUGAUAAAAAUAAAAAUCUAAAGCAAAAAUAUUAAACGUCGUGGUAAAUAAGUGAAGACGAUGGUUUUGUUAAAAAAGUGAUGUUGUAUUUCAUUUCAAACGUUGGUAAAUAAAAACCGUCGUUGUGUAGAAUUCUAACGUCGGUGACGAUGAAAAAUGACGUAUAACCAAAAAUUGUUUGUAAAUGAAAGUUGAACAGAAAAAAAUAAAACUUCCUUAAAUGAAAAACACAAACGACGUGGUAUUUCAAUUAAAAUGACGGUUUACAGAAAAUACUGACGUUGUAAAUGAUUUCAAACAUCGGUUUGAAGUUACCAUCGUGUUUUCAUUGUAACGUCGGUAUUAGAAAAAGCCGUAUAUCAUUCAAAUGCAAAUAAAAAAAUGUUAGAUUUUCAUAGAUAAACUUACAUAUUCACUAUAUUUCUCAUGUCCUCGUCAACAACGCGGUUUGGCAAUGAAUCCAUGUAAUAGAUAGUCUCCUUCGCUGGUCUCACAAUUAUUAACACCCAAUGACCCCUACACAUAAUGAUCCAUAUAGGUUAAAUAUACUAGAAAGAAAAAUAGGCAUCAAGUAUAGUUAAGGGGACUAACCUUGGAUUACAAGGCACCAUGUAAAAUUGAUCCCCAUUUGCGUUUUUCAGGCGGUCUGAGAGAUGUUUCAAACGGUAAGAUAACGUUCCAGAUUGAGAGCUGACUUGUCCAAGGUCCACGAAGCCAAUAAGGUUUACCAUAUUUUCUAUUUUUAAAUAGUCAAAUAGGCACCUAAAUAUAUGAAAUUCAAUUAAAUGAGAUUUUAACUUUAAAGAAAGGAAAUGUAUAAUGCAAUCACUGUGGAUCCAAUCUCAACCAUGGAAGGAAAUUGUAAAAUAUCUUCACACAAGAGGAAGGUAUCAUGGUUAAUGCCAAAGGCUUCCUCUGGAAUGUGAAUUCUAAUGGUCUCGUUAAUGGGCUUCAACUUGGUCUCGACAAAUUGAAAUAAGGCUAACAGAGGAGGUGGCAUGUCUAGCUUUGAGAGAUCCUGUUACAACAAAUAAAUAAAGAAAUAUAAGUUAGUUUGUACACUAAGUAAAAUAAACGACUCUAACUAAACCAAUCAAACCGACGUGGUAUAUAAUAUAAUCGACAGUUUCUAGAACAUACUGAAGGAGUAAAGGUUAUAGACGACGGUAAAGACAUAACCAUCGUUAUGUAAAUGUUCUAACGUCGCUGCAUUAUGGAAAGGUCGUCUAAUUAAAAUGCAGUGAAGCCUUUAUUGAAAUACACGACAGUUUAUAAAAUAAACACCGACGUAGUAAAAUACUGAGACGACGGUUAUCAGCAACGUCUAUUUGAAAUUAUAAAUCAGAAAAAAUCAAAUAUCAAAGAUUUUACCGUUUCAUCUUGCCAUUGUUUAGCAACAUCAGCAUCAUUCGUGGGAUUUUCUUCCUCCAAAACAAGGGGUCUCACAUUAGAGCAGCUUGCUUUGUCAGACAUUAGAUUUUUUGGAGUAAUUGGAGUUUUAUUGAGCAAGUUGGGAUCACAGUUGGGAAUUAGUUGACUGAAUUGUUUCAAUAAAAUUUCCCUCUCUGCUCUGACUGCCUCCAAAACAGUUUCUUUUGCCUUAGCUUUAAUCUUUUUGGUUUCUUCUCUCACUGCCUCCAUAACACUUUCCUUCAAUUUGUUAGCAAAUUUUACUCUCUGCUGUCUCGACAAAUUGAAGAAUUGAGUUGGGGAAACCCCAGCUCCAACACCUCUAACUCUCCCACCAUGCUCAGGGGUUCCCAAAGCCAAGGUCAAAAUAUCGUUGCUCUCAGAGACAGCAGAGUGCCCUCGGAAACUUGUUUUUUCAAAUCAUCCUAAAAGUGAGAGAGAGAGAGAGAGAAUGUUAGUGAGUGAACAGAUAGUAAAACAGAUUAAAUAAACAACUAUACAAAAAUAUUAACCGACGUGGUAAAGACUUUAAAAAACUGAAAUCAAUCCCCAAUAGUAACAGGGACCAUGCAGCAACGAUUUGGUUGACAGUAGUAUAGGUUGGAGAUGCUGUUGAUCAUUAGAUACUAUUUUUUUAAAUAUCAAUUCUGUAACAUCCAGACCUAAAAAAUUAAUGAUUUUGAUUUAAAAUUAAAUUUAAAUAAGCAAUUACGAAUUUACCCUUGGGGAAGGGGUAUUUUGGUAUUUUUUUUUUAUUCAGAAAGAGUUUGGGGCAGUGACUAGUAUUUUUGGGUAGAUCGUACUGAGACGAAUCCGUAGACACGCGGUAGGCCUGAAUCGGAGUUGUAACGAAGAAACGGUGACCAAAAUUAGUCCAGUGGCAAACUUGUAAAUAUUUUGAACUUGGGUGUAGAAAAAUCUGAAACUGGCUUCCUCUCUCCUGCGUGCACACGUCCUUCUCUCUCUCUCCUCUCUCUCUCCUCGAUACCAUCACUCUCUGUCUCUCUCUUCGAUUCUCUCAAUUCUGGCCACGGCAAGGGCCGGGACUGGUUCCGAUCAACUCCUCACAAAGCCCCGAACCAGAACCACCACUUUUCUUGGCCGGAAAGCUCGAGUUUCGCGUGGUAAUCUCGACUGGUUUGAACCAGUUUUCCUCCGUCAUUGUGCCGCCGCCAUCGCAGCCCAAUCUCGGUUAAACAAGUGAGGUUUCUUACUCUUUUUCCGAGCUCUAGCUGCCUGUUGGGUAGGAUUGGAUUGAUUUUUUGUCUAGGAUCCCGAUUUUGAAACCUAAGUUUUGACGAAUUUCAAAGUGAAAUUCCGGCCGGUUGCCGUCCUAAUUAGACCUCCCCGUAGUUGAAUAAAGUGAUCCUCGCUUCGAGUAGUAGCUAAGGUAGGAAUGGUGAAUUGCGGUGUGGAGUUUUUCCAUCACUGAAAAUUACUCUACACAUCCACGCGUUGCCAGGGCAUGUGGAGGCGCAUGGGCAAUGUGGUGAGACCACAUUUUAUCCUGAUGUAGUCUCCUAGUCCUCACGUGCGCGUAAGUGUGCUCGAAUUUCAAUUCGAAUGUUGUUUGACUAUCGAACGGAUUUAUGCAUAUUGUUUCUUAUCCGGGUUCAAUAUGUUCGGACCAUUGGAUCGAGUCCAAAUUUACGUAUGUUAAUCUAGGCACCCCUAGGAUCAUGUGCGAAUUCGCGGAUCGUGAAUCGGAGCCCCGAAUGUUCCGAUUCAAUAAUUUGAAGUUUAUGGUUUGCGAUAACCGUCAAUUUCUGACCAAACCUACAGGACGUGUUUCCUAAACCCGUAGUCGGACCUUAGAAUACUCGUUAUGCGUGCACGCACCGGGAACUUGAGAAAAUUAGUAUUUAAUUUGUAAAUUCCGUUUUGAAGUGAUUUUUUAUUAAUUAAGGGUGCGUAUCUCGAAAUAGGUGCUCCAUCACUAGCACGCAGCAGGUAGGACCCUCUUGAGGUCAGGCAGUGUGGGACUACUUGUGAGUGGACAUUUAUUUUAUAUAUGCAUUAUUUUCAAUGAUUGAAAGAAUAUGCAUGAAAUAUAUAUAUUUUUUGGAAUAAAGAUUGAGAAAUUCAUAUGUUGUUAUAUCAGUAUUAUUUAAUUUAGAAUUUGGUUUGAUUUGAUGAUGAGUUAUAUAAAGGUCAAGUUAUUCGUGAUUAAGUCUUGGAUGAAUUUUGGGGGAAUCGGGAAUUGAAUAUUAUGGUUUAUGGUGGGAACUUAUAUGAUUACACUGUGUGGAGUACCAUCCCCUAGUUACUAGGCUUCCCACAUGUGGCGUUGGAAAUUUUCCAGCGUGUGAUGAUGUAGUCUGCACGCAUAGGACUUAGUAUUGGAGCUACACGUGGCGUUGGAAUUUCCGGCAUGUAAGCUAUGGAGUUUCGUCCCCCGGUUGGACCGCUCAUCCCUAGACGCAGGAUAGCAACUGAAAAUCUUGCGGGUUAGCCAAACAAUCCCCCGGUUGGAUUGUUUCCCCGGUACCUAAGUAGUGUGAUAAAUAUUAUGUAUAUUUAUAGAUAUAUAUAUUUCUAUGUGUGUGUGUGUGUGUGUGUGUGUGUGUGUGUGAGUAUAAAUCAGUUAAAGUAUAUGUAGUGGUUGGGUAAGAGCAGUAUAAAUUUUGGGGAUAAAGUUUAUGGAUAGAGUGAUUGAUCUCAAAGGGUUUCGGAGAAUGAUGUUUUUGAUCAUUAAAUAAAAGUUAUGAAUCUGCAUGUCUUGAGCAUUAUUUUUAGACGGUGGGGUUAUUAUGUUGUUUUGAAUGCAAAUUUUGUUUUUCCACUCACAUGUUUUCUGUUUUGCGCCCCCCAAACAGUAGUCGCUCAAGGGAGAGUUGCAAGCCAUGUUCGAGGCCCCGAACUGUGAACAUCAGUAGAUUAGGUUUCGAGUAAUUUCUUUCUACUCAACUGGAUGUUCUUGUAAACUAAAUUCGUUAGAUGCUCUAUUAUUGCCCCUGUUAGGUUUUACUUGUGAGGCCAGAGGCCAUUUAGUUUAUACUGUUGAAUAAUAAAUGCAUGCUGCUGGUUGGGAUUAUAUUGUGCUUAUGCAGGUUGAAAUUUUUGGGAUUGUUCAAUUUACAUGGGAGACUCUAGCAAAAUUUUAGUAGAGAGUCUCGGUUUUUAAUAAGUGGGCCAGGCAUCGGGGUAAUGUCGGAAAUAAGACUGGAUUCGUCCCGGUUUCCGAAGAAUUCGAGGCGGGUCCUGUCAAGUUCCUCCUAUUAACAAUAAUAAAUUAAAUAUUUAUAUAACUGAUAACAGUUCCUCAUAUUAACAAUAAUAAAUUAGUAUUUUGUAUAAUAAACAUGUUUAAUGAAAUUCAUCUUCUUCUAGCAUGUUUAUUUAAAUUCUAAGUUUUCUGAAGAAAAAAAAAAAAAAAAAGGAGAAGGAAAUGUCCUAAAUUAAAUCUUAAAAGUUCAUUUUUUUCUGUCCCUAUAUAUUUUUUACCCAAUUAUAAUUUGAGAAAAAAAGGUGAAUUAACUGUCAUUUCACCUUCAUCAUUUUCAUGAUUUAUAUAAGAUUCUUCAAAGAUCAUUUCCACAAAAAAUUACUUAAAUUCGAAUCCAUUUAACCGUCUAAUUAAAUCGUUAGGACCGUUGAAAUAAAAUUUAAAGUGAGUUUAAAGUGAGUCCUACUAUGUCUCCCUCAAAUAAGAUCAUUUACAGGAUCUGUCGAGUCAUAUGAGAAUGUUUAGCUUUUCGAUCCCAAGAGUUUGGUUCGAUUUUCAUAUAUAUAUAUAUAUAUAUAUAUAUAUAUACAAGUCAAUUUACUUUAAAAAGUUCACCAAAUUUUAUUUUUGGUCUCGGUAGUUUGCUUGAGGGCCUUUUUCUGUCAAUCUAUUUGUUGUGAUUGAAAGAUUUUAUAUAAAACAAAAGAUAUGUUUUUAUCUUAAAAAAUGCUUAUUUUCAGAUCUUUACAUAUAGACAUACAUAUGGCCUGAGAAUUCAAGCAAUAAAGACAUAAGCUGAUGAGCAUUCAUAAUCAUUAGAAUGAGUACUGAAUGGUCAACUCUUUCAAAAUACUUCGGAAAAAAACAAAGGACAAUACUUCCUUCCUUACUCAUAAGAAGGAACUCCUUCUCACCUUCUAUUGUCCCUCAACCACAAAGUAACAAGUGUUCUCUUUUUUUAAUUGUCAAUUUUUUUUUUUUCACUUUUACUGAACCCCUAGCUUUUUACCAAAGCAAAAAACACAAAACAAUAUUCCCAUUGUUUUUUUUUUUCAUUUUGAUUUUUUUCUCAACUUUUUGAAAAAUAACAUUUUUCCUUCUUCAGUAAAAAAUUGAAGUCUUUGUGGUUAAAAGCUAAGGUUUCAGUAAAGGUUUAAAAUAAAUAAAAAGUUUUGACAAUUCAAAAAACAGAACACAUAUCACUUUGUGGUUGAGCCGCAAUAGAAAGUAAGAAAGAAUUCCACCUUACCCAUAAGGAGGGAAGUAUUGUCAAAAAGAAAACAUCUUAAAAAACACACAGAAAACCCACCAUCACUACUUAAAAGAAGUAGAGAAGUCCAACAUUCUGAUUUUUAUACACCUACGUGACGUGAGCAUUCAAUAAUCAUCCUACACAUAUGUUGAUGUGAGCAUUCAAAAUCAUUAGAAUGAUUUAAUUGAAGACUCAACGUACGGACGUCUUUUUCACUUAGAUUCCCUUCCUGUACAAACUUGAAUCAGUUCCUCCACGACCCCAUCAAUCUCUUCAUCCUCUUUCUUGUUCACGUUGUCGCUUAUUUUCAAUGCCUUUUUUCUCACUCCCUCUCCAAAUUUCUCCACAACCACAUCUCUAAUCACCUUUGCGACCUCUUCUCUUUGCAAACUUCCUUCACCUGUUCUCUUAACCUCCACACCAACACCCACCUCCUCCACUAGUCUAGCGUUGAUCGGCUGGUCAAGAUGCAUAGGCAUGGCUAUAAUUGGAACACCAAACUUGAUGCUCUCCAACACUGAGUUCCAUCCGCAGUGACUCACAAACCCCCCAACACUAGAAUGCUGCAGUAUCUUUGCCUGUGGGGCCCAACCCUCCAUUAUCACUCCCUUCUCUCCCACCCUCUGUAAAAACCCUUCUGGUAACACCUCUUCAACCCUAGUACUUCUCUCCUCCUUAGAAAAUCUUAUAACCCAAAUGAAGCUCACUUUGCUAAGCUCUAAUCCGUGAGCUAUCUCUUCUAUUUGCUCCUUGGACAGAAAGUACUCACUGCCAAAGCAAACAUACACAACAGAAGACCUUUCCAUUUUGUUCAGCCAUUUCAUGAUCCAUGUUUCCUCAUCAACUUUUUGAUCCAUUGGCUCUUGAACAAGCGUGCCAACAGGCACGAUCUUCUUCCCCGUUAAAUCAGAGAGAUAAUCAAUAUAUUUUUCUUCAAUCUCGCUGGAUGUCUUGACCAAAAUGAUGUUACAAGAUCGAGCACUGCAUUGCUGAACACGGUCUCCGUCUUUGAUGCCAUUUGCUGAAGAUUCCAACAAAUUGUUGAACUUUUCAGCUUCGUAAUGUUGAAGAUAAAUCGAAGGAAAAGGAAACUUGACACUAGGGUUCUUGAGAUGUUGAAUACUAAAUGAAGUAAAGGCAGCACCCAUGGUGGUGAAUUCAAUGGAUGGAAAAUUUUGCAAUGAAGCUAGAGAGGGCGCCCAUGGUUGAAGAACAUCAUAUAUGAGCAAAUCUGGACUUAGGGUUUUGAGGAUGUUGGAGAAGUUGUUGCUGGACAUGCUGAAAGCCGUUUUGAGAGUGGACAUGAGAUGGGGAGGGAGGCCAUUGGUGGUGUGGUAGUGCGGUGGGAGUUCAGGCAAGUCAUCAUGUGGAAGAUGGAGUUCCACAAAUUCAAUGCAAUGAGAAUAUUUUUGGGAGAGUUUAGGCUUGAUGGAGCUGAGAUUUACAGGCGUGGAACAAAUAAAGAUGUGAAAAUUUCUCUUGGUGGUCAGCUUCUUGGCUAGCUCUAGGUAGGGAGAUAUAUGGCCGUGAGCUAGCCAUGGAAGCAAAAGAAUAGUAAGGCUUCUUUGGUCAGAGAAAACCAUAUUUUGUUUUCCUUUGACUUGUUUUCCUUUGACUCUUUUGCUUGAGGUUGCUCGAUUAUAGGCUUAUUGGUAGUUUGUUUGUGGCUAGCUCUAUGCAUAUAUAUAUAUAUAUAUAUAUAUAUAUAUAUAUAUAUAUACACACACAAAAACGCGUGAUGAUUGGAACAUGCACACGUAAGUUCCAGAGAGUGAUGAUUGGCCUAUGAUAAAGACUCGAAACAAGAAUAGUUUAAAUUUUCUUCUUUGUUUGGCUUGAUAUAAGACGAAUGCACCAAACAAACCGACUAAAUGCCGACACAAUAAUUAGGUACGUAAUAAUAUCAACUUUCAUUAUAUAGAUCUGAGAAACAAAAAGUUGAACUUUGAUGACAAGCGAUAUUAAGGAAGGGCACAAUCGAACUUAGGAUCUCGAAUGUUGAAGUACAUGCUCUUAACAACUUGAGCUAUAAGGUAUUUGUAAUGACAAUUUAUGGUUUUAAUUAUACUUUUGAAUAGUUGCUUCCUUCUCUUUCAUUUUUAUUUUUAUUUGUUUAUAUUUAACUCUAAUUUUAUUUAUAUUUCUGGUCAAGGUAUAAAGACUUUGAAUCUCUCUCCAAUUAUUUUUCACAGCCGAAACUCCUUUAGUUUCCACAAAUCUUUUUAAACAUUUCAGGCAUAUGUAUGUUUCCGAGUCGGAUGGUUCACGUAACCAAGAAAUUUAAACUUGUUUUUGUUUGUUCCUCCGAAGAAAGCACAACAAAAGGACAACCUACAACCAAUACUUCUCAUUGAAUUUGUUGCCGUGAAUGAUUAGGACUCUGCCCAAACUAGUAGUUGCGUUUCUGAAUUGUUUGAAAACACAUAUCAAAUUAUGAUUUCUCCUCCCCGAAAGAAAAAUUGACGUAGAAGUAUCAUGAUCUUGAUGACACAAAUUAGAAUCUAGGGUUUUCGAAGUGCCUAAUGGACAACUACUUAUUUAGAAAUAUAUAUAUUUUUGUGGCUAAAAUUUAAAUUUAUUAUAUAUAUUCUCAAUGCAGAAACACAUAAAUCUAAGUUCGAAUUCAUCCUUUUUUUGUUUUUUUUUUUUUGUUUUUUUAACCCAGAAGAAAAAUUGAGUCCCACUCUGCUGUGUAGAAUGCGCGUUUAGUAUAGAUUUUUUUAUUUUUGAGUCUCUUAUCUGGUUCCCGAGCUUCUACAUUUAGGUCUCGUGUAUUUAUCUGCAUUUUCUUAAAUCUAAAUCACUCAAACAAUCUAACCACUUAACAAAUGACACGUACUCAAACUUAAAAUCAGAAUGGAUGGAGUAGAGGCUUACACCGAUGAUUCUUGGUCAAGACUUGAGAGACAGAUGGAGACGAGGCAUGACAUAAAGUCUGAAGAAGAGAAACGAGGAAGCUUCAUUUAGAUGGUGGUGUAAGUGCAUACGUAAAGUCCAGAUUCAACAGGAAAGCAUCUUAAACGUAAAGAAAAUAAGUUUACCAGAAGCAAAAGAGAUACUGAAGUAAUUGUUUAUCAACUGAACUUAAACGAAAUAUUAACUCUUUGUUGUGCCAUAAGCACAAGAUCUUAUGAAAAAAAAUUCAAGAUAAACCAUAUAAUAUUGGGAGAUUCACGUUUAUACCGAAUAUAGGAAUUCAAAUUAUAAAAUAAAUAAAUAAAUAAAAUAAUCGAUAUGAAAUGGACUUUAGAAACACACACAAAGCCUAUUUACAACAUAACAAAAAGGUUUUUCCCUUCUUUUAAAUUACAAAACUGCCAUUGAUUUCUUAAAACAAACCCAACUCCAAAACCUCAUUAAAAAAGCACAAAACACUCAAUAGGGUGUCAAAGUAAUUUAAUAAUAAAAAAUAAAUUCAAUAAGGCCAAUUGAAUUUUUUGGAUUUUUUUUUGGGUUUGUUUAUAGAAAUUAAUGGUGUAGGGUUUAUCUAUAUUAUUGGUGUUAAGAAUGAAUAAUGACUAAAUAUCUCUAUAAUAUUUUCUAACUCACAAAAUAAUAUAGAAAAUAAAUGCAAGAACAAGAAAAUAGCAAUAUGCAAUUUAACGAAGCUGCUUACAAUCAGUGCAAAUGAGCAAACAAAUUCGCUAUUAAUUUAUGAAGUGUUUUUGUAUUUACAAUACCGCCUCUUGAAUGUCCACCAUACAAUAAUAUAGUUGCAUCAUUAAAAACUUUACUUGAAAAAUCGUUUGGGACAAAACUUAAGCUAAGAGAAAAAGAGUGCAACACAAAUGAUAUUGACAUCACAUAUGUCUCUCCUACAGAGUGAGCUUUGGUGAUGCUUGUAUAAAAAUUGCUUUCACAUCAUUAUUGGGAGAUGUAUGUAUGUCAUCAAUCAUUUGAAUCUUGUUGAGGUUAAAGUAAAACCAAAAAAAUAUCAAGGGCCAUUUUCAUAUAGUUUUUCACAAUAAAAAUUAACAAAAUAACUUCAUGUUCUUUAAUAUCAUCAAAAAAAUAAUAUAAACAAACUCAUAGUUUACCUUUUCAAUGAUAAGUGUUUGGAAAAUUUACAUGGAAUAAUAUUUGGUAUGCUAUGCUAGCAUCUCAUAAGCUCUUCAAGAGACCUAAAUUUUAUGAUAACUUCUUAAAAAAAUUUGAAUACUUUUCAACAAUAUUAAACUUGAAUUCAAACUCAUAAUUCAAUCAAAGUACUCAUUGAGGCAAUUUAGAUCAUUUUCAUUUUAAGAAAAUUGGGUGCAUACAUUGAGCUUCAUGCCCUUUACCUUCUUAGAGAUUUUCUUCGAGCAAUUUAUAUUGCAUGACAGAUUAUAUCUCUUAGAAUUUGUUCUUAUGUAUUCUUCAAGAGAUCUCUUCUUGCAAUAUGCUUCAAACACUUCAUAAUCUUUAUAGAUUUUUCAUGUAGAUUUAAGGUCUCCAUGAAUAUUGAGAUUGAAACAAGGAGUAAAAUAAAAGUUUAAGAAAAAUUUUCCCUGAUUAUUUUGUAAUUAUAAUGUUGGUGAAAACCUAAUUUCCUUUCUGAAAUUUGUGAAAUUUGUUAUUUGGCUAAGCUAAAAGUAUAAUAUUGACAAUAAAACGUAUACGAAAGUUUCUCUUUGGCUGGCUUCUUGGCUGGCUCUAGGAAGGGACAUUGCGGCCAUGAGAUAACCAUAGGAAGCAUAAUAAGAAUGCUUGGAUGCUCUGAACAAUCCAUUUUCUGACUCUUUUUCUUGAGGCGGUUGUUUUCUUAGGCCCAUCAGAGUUUAUGGUCGACAGAUAAGCUUCAAACACAUGCAUUGGUCGUGUCAGUUGCGAUAAACUCUUCCCAACAAUCUGAGACUCACAUCACUCCAAACACAUAAAAAGAAGUGGAAAUUUGCUAUUCUUUGUCUUUGUUUGGACAGCUAAUAGCAAAGCAUUGGAAACAUCGAAAAAAGAAAGUUAAUUAAUUUAAGAAAAACAAAGAAAUCCUUCUUUUUUUUUCUUUUUUUUUUCAGCAAACCGAAACAUAAAAUCCGAAAAAGAAGAAGGCAUGUCCAAAAUUACAUCUUGAAUUUAUUUUGGAGAUUCACUAUUAUACUCAAAUUAUAUAUGAAAUAAAUUUUAGAAACACACAUGACGCCAAUUUACAAUAUAACAAAAAAACUUUUAACUUCUUGUAAAUUACAAAAUUGUUAUCGAUUUCUUAAAACAAGCCUAAUCCUAAAACCUCAUAAAAAAAAAAUCAAAACACUCAAUAAGGCAUCAAAGUAAUUUAAUAAUUAAAAUUAAAUUUAAUAGGGUCAUCUGUCAUUUUUUGGAUUUUUUUCGAAGUUGUUUAUAAAAAUUAAAAUAAUGUAUAGUUUGUUUAUAAAAAUUAAAUGAUGUAGAGUUUCUUUAUAUAAUUAAUGUUAAUAAUGAGUAUAUGAAUAAAUGUCACUUUUCUUUAUUAACCAUUUAUAAUAUAUGAACUCAAGACUUCCUAUCGAACACCGAAUGGUCUUUCCAUUCCUUGUUAAUUCAAAGUCUGAAAAUGUUCGGUGUCAGCUCAUGAAUUUAAAGGCUUAAAGGCUCAAAACUUGAACGAAUAUGAAAGAAAAAAGUCGUUCACCGUUCAUCCUCUUCCUGCAGCUGUGCAUGCUAAUCACCCACUGAAUUAAACAUACAAAUACGCUUUAUGUUUUCUCAAAUUGUUCUUUGAACUAAGUAGAGGUUGGAAUACACUCGGGGUCAACAUUGUUCAAAUACAAAACACUUCUUAAUUUUAUAUUUUAUCAAAACAGAUCGAAACUUCAUUCAAACUGAGAACCUAGAUUACAAAACUACCAGAAAAACUGGAAUCUGCACUGUGGCCUCAUUAAAACCUUGCUUUAAAAAACUCCUAAAAGAGGAGAAUUCAGUCAAGAAAAAAGAGUACCACAGCAAGUGAAAUCCGAUAUCAUACUUCAUUCCUUUCUCAUACAAAGUUGAAUCAACUGCUCUACCACCCCAUCUAUCUCUUCAUCCUCUCUCUUUUUCAUGUUGUCUCUCAAUUCCAUUGCCUUUCUUUUCAAACCCUGUCCAUUUUCUUCCACCACCACAUCUCUGAUUACUUUUGCUAUCUCGUCCCUUUUCAGCCUCCCGUUCUCGUUGCCGCCUCCUCCCAUUCUCUUAACCUCCACACCAACUCCAACGUCCUCUACUAUUCUAGCGUUAAUAGGCUGGUCAAGAUGCAUAGGCAUGGCUACAAUUGGAACGCCAAACUUGAUGCUCUCCAACACUGAGCUCCAUCCACAGUGGCUCACAAACCCACCAGCACUAGAAUGCUUCAAUACUUUUGCCUGUGGAGCCCAACCAUCCACUAUUAUUCCCUUCUCCCCCACCCUCUCAAAAAACCCUUCUGGUAAUACCUCUUCAACCCUAGUACCUUUCUCUUCCUUAGGAAAUCUUAUAACCCAAAUAAAACUCACUUUGCUAAUCUCUAGCCCAUGAGCUAUCUCUUCUAUUUCCUCCUUGGAUAAAAAGUACUCACUGCCGAAGGAAACAUACACCACCGAAGAUCUUUCUCUAGUGUUUAGCCACUUCAUGAUUUUUGUUUCCUCCGAAUCCACUUCUUGCUCUAUAAGGUCUUGAACAAGUGAACCAACAGGCACAAUCUUCUUCCCAAUUAGAUCAGAGAGAUAAUCAAUAUAUUUUGCUUCAAUCUCUCUAGAACUCUUAACUAAUACGAUCUUACAAGAACGAUCGCUGCACUGCUUAGCACGGUCUCCAUCACUGAUGCCAUUUGAUGAAGAUUCUAACAACAUCUUGAUCUUACUAGUCUCGUAAUAGAUUGAAGGAAACGGAAAUUUGACACCAGGUUUCUCGCCAUGGUGGGUACAAACUGACAUCAUGGCAGCACUGGUUGUGAAGAACUCGAUGGCUGGAAUGUUUUGUAACAAAGCUAGAGAGGGUGCCCAUGGUUGAAGAAAAUCAUAAAUUAGCAAAUCCGGGUGUAGGGUUUUGAGGAUGUUGGAGAAGUUAGGGCUUGCCCUGUCGAAGGCGGUUUUGAGAGUGGACAUGAGGUGGGGUGGGAGGCCAUUGGUAGUGUGGUAAUGAGGUGGGAGUUCAGGCAAGUCGUCAUAUGGAAGAUGUAGUUGCACGAGUUCAAUGCAACGAGAGUAUUUUUCAGAGAGUUGUGGCUUGAUGGAUCUGAGAUUUACAGGUGUGGAACAAAAAUAGAUGUGAAAAUUUCUGUUGGUCAGCUUCUUUGCUAGCUCUAGGUAGGGAGAUAUGUGUCCAUGAGCUAACCAUGGAAACAUAAGAACACUGAAUUUUCUUUGCUGAGAAGAAUCCAUUUUUUCAGACUCUCUCCAUUCAGGUCGUUUGUUUUAUAGAUCUAAUAAGUGAGAUGAAAAGAUGACAAAAUAUAUACAGAUGAGUCAUGUGAAUCUAGGUUUUUUCUUCGUAGUCAGAAGAGUCGUGCGUAAGUGCAUGCGUGUAUACAAGACAAAAGACAUACGUUAGACUUCUUUAUCUUCGUUCGUGCUGAUAUAUAUUAAGAAACAGACCCUUGCAACUCUAAUAUCCUAGACAAAAAUUCAAUUUUAAAAACUGAUGCUAUGUCCUGUGUUUUCCUAAACAAUCCCUAUUUUCUGUAGUCUUUCAAUUAUUCUAAAUUUGCUCAACAUUCAAUAUAACAUCAAUUUCUUAUAAAUCCCUGAACUUUCUCUAGCAUUCAAAAUUUUAAAACAUUCUCAAAGUAAUUCGGCUUCAAAGGAAUGGUAAACUUAGUAAUGGCUUCUUUUCCCCUUUCACGAUGCAGUGGCUGAGAGUUCUGAGAACGGAAGUUGUAGUUGGGUGACUUUGAUUCUUUUUAGCUGAUGCCUACUGCUUGAAUGAAAUGGAGCAAAGAGGUCAUCAGUACUUACACUGCUACUAGGAGGGUAAGCUUGAUUAUGUGUAUACUAUAACUUUAGAGUUUUGGUAUUUGGAAUGAUGAUAAUUUCAAUGUUACAUUUAUUUUGUUUACUACACUAUGUUUCUUUGUUGAACUCAAAUGUCAUGCUGAUAAAAAGAAAUAUAUUGUUGUAUGAAAUUGAAUCAAUAAGGAAAUUGACUGAGAUUUAAAAAUAAAAUUACACAGACACAGCAUGCAAUAUUAAUGCAAUAUUAAAUCUGUGUUAAAUAAUGUAGGACAGAUAGAUUAGCUGAUCGAGGAGCAGCUGGAUAAGCCCGUGCAUGUCGUUGUGCCAGAAAAGCCCAAUUCGUGCAAGUAUGGGCCCUGAACUCUUAAUUAGGCUAUGAUCUGUCAUUUUGAAGAGAACGGCGUGACAAGUGCAACUCACUGCUGUAUUGUGACAUACGGACUAUUUUAGUCAAAUUCUAUCAUUUACAUUGCAUUUUCAGCAUUUAAAGUUUUUUAAAAAAUUUGGAAACUUUUGUUAUUUUCCUUUUUUGUUUUCUAAUUAGCUUUCUUAGCAAGUCUAGGGGUUCUCUUGUAUAAAAGGAAUGCAUUGGAGCAUCCUAAACUAUUCAGUUUAUUAUCAAUCAAAUACUUUUGAGUUAUACUAAAUUUCGGAUGGAUCCGGCAUGUUACUUGCAGGGUUAUCAUUCGAUCUCCUUAUUCCCUAUAUCUCGCUACGUCAGCUGUCAUGGCCAACUGGGGAAGUCGUGUAAUGGAUAUCACUUAUGGUGUGCACCAUGUGUAGUAAAUAGUUGUCCAAAACCUUUCCCGCAGCUCUAGUGCAAGGGUGUAUUGUGUGCACGUUUGAGGCGUGCAUAUAGGUUCCGUAAAUUUCAUGAGCUUUUUAUGGCUAGUUCUUUCGGGAAGUGCAUAGGGAGUGAUCAACUUCUUGGUCACUAACCUGUUUGAUAUUCUUAGUAAUGGGGUGUUAGUUGGAUUGACUUAGACUUUUAGUUUGCUCUCAAGUGGUCCCGAGUUGAAGCCCCCACGGUAUCCGUGUGUGUGAAUUUUCCCCUUCCCUUUCCUAAUUUAACAACAACAACAAAAAAUACUUAUUUGAUAUCCUGGUUUAUUUAUUUAUUCUUUUUUAAAAAAAAAUUUAAAACUUUUUUUAUUAAAAGGGGUAAUAUCAUACUAAACUCACACACACUACAUAGAUGAUAGGACUUGAAUUCACCAUAAUCGUUUUUUAGGAGCAAUUACUUAUGGUAAACAAUUACUUCAAACCACUACACUAGUAGUCAUUAGCGGCGUUUUAUAUUCUUGCACAAGCUAUGUGGUCACUAAUAUUUUGUGUAUUAAGGGCUUGUGGUGUUUCAAUGUUGAUAAAAAUGCCAAAUCAGAAUUCAAUACAAGAGUACAACCACCUAAAGGAUAGCAAUGAACAGAUACUAUUUUAUCCACACAAAAAAAAGUUUAUCUGAUAUGAGCAUUAUUCAAAAUCAUUAGAAAAUGAGUACUGAAUGCUAAAAAGACGCUAAAACGUAGAGUCAAAGCCAACAUUCACAUGAUCGGCCAUCAGAUACGCUUAGCAUUCAAAAUCAUUAAAAUUAUUAUUGAAGUCUCAACUCCUUUUCACUUAAAAGUAGAUAUUUGUUUCCCUUCUCCUACAAAUUGCAUCAAUUCCUCCACGACCCCAUCUAUCUCUCCAUCUUUGUUUUUCAUGUUGUCUCUUAAUUCCAAUGCCUUUUUUCUCAUGCCCUCUCCAAUUUUCUCCACAACCACCUUUCUGAUCACCUUCGCCAUCUCUUCUCUUUGCAAAAUUCCUUCUCCUGUUCUUUUAACCUCCACACCAACACCCACCUCCUCUACUAAUCUAGCGUUAAUUGGCUGGUCAAGAUGCAUAGGCAUGGCUAUAAUUGGAACACCAAACUUGAUGCUCUCCAACACUGAGCUCCAUCCACAGUGACUCACAAACCCACCAAC